CCCACCAAAUUCCAAAACUCCCACGACCGCCUUUGUCCUCUUCCUCCUCCUCCUCCUCCGGCAAUAGCCUGACACCUUCCAGAGAUGGAAUAUUCCGGCGAUGAGUUCGACGUCAUCGUAGUCGGAGCCGGAGUCAUGGGGAGCUCCACCGCCUACCAGACCGCCAAGCGCGGCCACAAGACCCUCCUCCUCGAGCAAUUCGACUUCCUCCACCACCGCGGCUCCUCCCACGGUGAGUCCCGGACGAUUCGCGCCACGUACCCGGAAGAUUACUACACGCCCCUCGUCCUCGAGUCCUACAAGCUCUGGCAGCAGGCGGAGUCCGAAAUCGGCUACAAUGUCUACUUCAAAGCCAACCAAUUGGACAUGGCUCCGGCGAACGAUAAGGUUCUCCUCGCCGUUGUCGAUAGUUGUCGGAAAAACUCGGUCGCGUUUUCGGUCAUGAACCGGGACCAGCUGCACCAGGAGUUCUCGGGUCGGGUUAUGAUUCCGGAGGAUUGGGUGGGUGUUGUGACGGAGCACGGCGGGGUUAUUAAACCCACCAAGGCGGUGUCAAUGUUUCAAACGCUCGCUUUGCAGAACGGCGCCGUUUUGAGGGAUAAUAUGGAGGUGAAGGGUGUGGAGAGAGAUGGGGUGAGAGGAGGGGUUUGGGUGUCUACAGCAAAAGGGAAGAGGUUUUGGGGGAAGAAUUGUGUGGUGACGGUUGGAGCUUGGACGACAAAGUUAGUUAAAACGGUUGGCGGGAUCGAACUGCCGAUCCAGCCGUUGGAGACCACCGUGUGCUACUGGCGGAUUAAGGAGGGGCACGAGGGUGCUUUUGCCAUCGGAGGAGACUUCCCGACCUUUGCUAGCUAUGGGAACCCCUACAUUUAUGGGACCCCCUCUUUGGAGUAUCCCGGUUUGAUCAAGGUCGCCGUGAAUGGCGGGUACCCGUGUGACCCCGAUAAGAGGCCAUGGGGUCCCGGGAACCCGCUGGCUCCGUUGAAGGAGUGGAUAGAGGGGACGUUCUCCGGCGUGGUUGACUCCGGCGGGCCGGUGGCUACCCAGUUGUGCAUGUACUCAAUAACCCCGGAUGAGGAUUUUGUGAUUGAUUUCUUGGGUGGGGAGUUUGGGAAGGAUGUGGUGGUGGGCGGGGGGUUUUCGGGUCACGGGUUCAAGAUGUCGCCGGUGGUGGGGAGGAUUUUGGCUGACCUUGCGCUUACUGGGGAGGCUGAAGGAGUGGAGCUGAAGCAGUUUAGGAUAGCAAGGUUUCAAGAGAAUCCCAAAGGCAAUGCCAAAGACUUUCUGUAAAUGCACGCAACAAACCUCUGCAAAUUUUUUAUAUACAGAAUAAGACAAAGAAGAGUGUGAGGGGUAAUAGUAGGGAAGAGAAUCCUACCUCUUCGUUCUUUUCGUCAUUGCGUUACGGUUACUAACGUACGGUUCUGAAUGUGUGUUUUGCUUUUUCAAGAUAAAUAUUUCAGUUUUUCUUUAAAUGUCGUACCCAGUGCACAAGAAUUCUGCUUUACGCAGGGUCUGGUAGAGGUGAAUGUAAUUUAGAAAAAAAAAAAAAACUAUAUUAUCUACAGAUGUGGAAGUGAGCUAAGCCUCAUAAUUGACUAACAAUAAUGUGGUUCAAAUUCUCUUUUACGAGAAUCAAAUCUAAAAUAUUUCACUUACAAGUGAAAAUAAAUACCUUUCACCGUAGUACUAACUACUAAGUGGCUUUAAAUGUAAAAAAAUAAAAAAAUAAAAACCAAUUUUAGGAAGAGAAAAUUGGAGCUUUUUUUUUAUAUAUAUUUUAUAUUUUUUAAUCUAGUUGUCAUUUUAAUAGCUUUUCUAGUUGAUUUGUCAAACGAUAUAUUUUGUUAGAUUAAAUGUUAGAUUAGCCACCGACGAAGUUUGAAUCCACGCCGUUAUGCAAGGGUUCAACACUUUUUCACCACUGUGGUAAAAGACCACUUGCAAAAAUUGGAGCGUUUUGACUUGAUUAGAGGUGUGGUCUCUAAACUAACUGAGAUUUCUCCAUGUGCUCGGAAUAUAAGCAAGUACAUUAUGUGUCAUAGUAUAUAAGUAGAGAAAUAUUUUUUUUCCAAUCACCCCUUCACCUGUAUUAUGACAUAUGAGGUACCAACCCAUUUUUCCAAUACACUACAAAAUUUCUCCUCUAGCAAAAACAUGUGAGUACCGGUCCUCUUUUCACAACAUAAAACAAUGGUCCUUUUAGGUGAAAAUGUUAAAACUUCCGUCUGGUUGAAAGUUCUAAUGUUGUUUACGCAAAGAAUUUGAAAGUUCUAAUGUUGUUUACGCACAGAAAAAAUCAUAGCUCCACAUUAUAAAAAAUUCAUGAACCAAAGCUUUAAUUAGGUCAAAGUCUCGAUACCAUUACUCCAAUUUCCUUUUCUCGGAAUAUGAAAUAGUAGAAAUUCGGAAAAAUUAAAGAACAAAAUCAUUAAAAUAUGCCUGAAAAAUUACAUUACACGACAAUAUCGUCUUGACAAAGUACUAGGUUGGAGCUUUUUGUUACACAUCUAAAUUCUCUCCAAUUAUAUAGAGAGAAAACCCUAUUGUAGUAGCAGCUACGAUGUACAACCUUUUGUGGUUGGGUAUUUGAGUAAACAAAGGAACUAUGUUUGUUUCCCUAUCAUCAAACUUUCUUUUCUUAUUAGGAUGCAACCAAGCUUCUCAGAUUCAUUCGUAUAAAAACUGCGAAUCUGAAUCGCUCGGUUGUGGAAAAUAAUAAAUGGAUCUAAUCGCAUCUACGAAGGAGAAAAUAAAUAGCAGAUUUAAACUUCCAGCUUAAUACCCAAUACAGCAUUACCAUCAAAAUGUGAACCUGCAUCACAAGGAAAUGCAACGCAUAAGUUCUGAACUUCACAAUAUUUUUCGAUCCAGAACUUCGCAAACACAAAACUAUAACAUAAAAAUGAGCAGUGCUUUUCACACUCUCGUUUUCUCCUACUGCACCCUUCCCUUAAGUCUCUUGAUUCUCCUUUGGUUUAUAUUUAAUCCAAAUAUUAGUUUAUAGGGAGAGUGCAGGGGCGUAGAAUAACAAAAGACAGAAAUAAGCAACUAAUGAAGAAUCUUACUAACCACUUCUGGCUUUUCAAGAGAAUCCUUUUAACCGCUUCUGGCUUUUCAAAUUGCAAAAGUUGCAAGAAGCGCAUGCAGUACAGCCCAAUAUAAUAUAAUGCCAAGCCGUAAAACAGGUUUCCGCAUUAGAGUCCGAUCACAAGAUACCCUGAAAGGUUGUGUACAAGACGAUUUAGUUCUCACAAAAUCUAGGUAAGUUUUAGAUUGAAAUAUUACCCAGAAAAGAAAACAAGGACUGGAUAUGCUUACCAAAGGCCAUCAACCAUGUUAGCCACGGGUCUAGUAAAUCUUGGAACAAUUCUUGAAGUCGUGAGUGACUUGAAACCAUGAACUACAGCCGAAGAAAACAAAUGUUAAACCAGUAAGAAAUGCCUUCAGUGACCAUCUGACUUGGUAUUGAAGGGCAAAGACCAGUAAAAGAUGGCAGCAAUUAUAUCAGCAUAGGAUUACCUUUAUCAUCCUCUUCAUCUUCCAACCUACUACUGCUCCCAGAAUCCAUAUCUAUGGCAAUUGCAACUUGGUCAUUAUUGACCUUGCGCAAACUACGGACUUGAGGUGCAAUGGAGGUCCCAGCUUUCGCCCAGUUGUUUUUCUAUUUAAAAAAUCCACAAAAUAAAGUUUUUAAUGACAUCACAAUACUCUGACAAAGGGCAAGAGAAUGUAAGGCGGUAAAUAAAUAAAUAAACAAACAUAUAAACAUCUCACCGCAGGCUCGACCUCAACAAUUUCAGAGGUGCUGCUAGUUCCCCGACCAGAAUCUUCCACACUGUCAAGCAAAUUUAGCCGUGAUUCCUUCUCAUGUAAAGACUUCUCAAGAGUUUCUCCUUUGCGUGUUAAUUCUUCUACCUUACUCCUUUCUGCUUGCAACAGUGUAUCCUUGCUUUGAGCCACAGUUCGUAGAUCCCCCAAUUCUGAAAUAACAGAAUCAACCUUUUUCUUGAAUAUUUCCUUGUAGUCAGAAACUUGAUCACUGUUCUGAUCCCCAUUGUGCAGCCCAACCAGAGCAAUAUUCAUGUCAAACCAUGUUAAUAACUCAUGGAUCUCUUCUGAACUUCUCUUGUUGCUGGUUUGUGAUGCAACAAGAACAUCAUUUGUGCACCUAGUGACCUCUUGCCUUAAGAAGGAUAUCUCAUCAUCCCGUUCUUGCAACUGUGAUUGGAGCUUUUCCACCUCACCAAGGAGGCUUGCAGACAGAUGAUGUAGUUCAUCAAACUUACUCACAGUGAUGGAAAGCCUUUUCAUAACCUUCCCGCGGGAAGUUUCAAGGUUCUCCAAAUCUAAGUUCUUUUGUUCCACAACCUUUUCCAGUUCCUUAAUCCUGGAAGUGCGACCUUGCAUCUGCACCUCCUCCUCAUCAAGUGCUUGCAUUAGGUCCUCAAUUUCUGCAAUCACAAACAAUUUUGAUAAUUGGUGAUUAUUUAAUAUAACCAUUUCAAAUUUCAAUCAAAUAUAAAAACUAUAGUAGACUCUAACUGACCUUGAUCUUUAGCAGCAAUCACAUCAGUCAGUGAUCUGACCCUCUCUUGUAACUCGGUAGAAGUAGCACGGCCAUCUUCUAAUUCAUUCACUCUCUGCUCUAAUAAGUUACGUUCACCCUUCAUCACUUCUAUCCGUUUCUCCAAAUCAUGCACCAAAGAUUUUGAAGAUUGAAGAUCCGUUGAGUAACUUGUUGCAGCUGCUUCAGCUUGCUUGAUUUGACUUACAAGCUCCAUGCAAAUCCUUUCCUUUUGAAUGUCCUUCUCCUGAAGCUCUUUCUGCAACUUUGAAAUGGUAAUCUUCAACUCCUUUUGGCUACCUUCCACAAUUUCCGUUGUCAGAGAACCAAAAUCACUCACAGUUGACAAUAGCCUGUCUGUCACACUCCUGACACAUUCCUCAGAGCGACACUGGUCUUCUCCACUAAAUGAAAGUCCAUCCUCAGAAUAAUUUGCUAAUUUCAAUCUCAUCCCUUGUUCUCCAGCAGACCAACCAUUUCCAACCAAUUCAGCUUUUCUUCUGUCCAUUUCCAUAACUGAACCAGUGCAUGCUUCAAAAAGCAAGGCAAUAUUUCGGCGCAAGAAAAGAAGCUCAUUGUCCUUUUCCUUUUCAACUCUUUCCACAUGCAACAAGUCUCUCUUCAAGGCUUCAAAUGACUCAUUUUUGGAAGUUAAUUCUCCACGAACAAUUGCCAUUGAUUUAGAUACACUGCUAGCUUUUUCAUGUAAUGAAAUUGAGUGUUCAUCUAAUUUUUCUUUAAGCACACCAAUCUCCAUCACGAGUUCUUGCAGAUAAUGCCUUACGUAAGUAAAGAUUUCAAUUAUAAAACUGUCAUCAAAUUGGCCAUGCAUGUUGGAGUCUGACCAAGAAUUUGUAGAAAUAAAGUUCUCCUGAACAGGGAAGCCAAAAUUAGAAGAUGAGAAAAAAAUGCACGAAACUUGAUAAAAAAAAUAAAGAUAAUAAGAGAGAAGAAUGCUUCACAUCAAAUUUAAAGACUAUAAUUGUCAUUCAACAUAUAACAGUAUAAGAAUAAACAAUUAUGAUAUGAGAAUAAUAGUCAUUAGUGAUGAUGAUGAUAUUAACAGUAAUGGUAAUGACAAGACUAACUAUAAUCCAAAAUUUGGAUACCAAGUGACGUGACUGUAUUUAUCUUCAUUCUUAAUCCCACAUACCGUCAUACGAGUCCCAAUUACUUUUAGCGUAGAUAAUGGCAUUCCAUCUGUCGCAUCACUUGCUAUCCAAAAAGUUGGAAUUUAUAAAUAAAGCAGACCUAUAAAUAGACGAGAGAGAAGUACAUAUACAUGAAACAAUUCUUCAAUAAUCAUUUCUCACUUAAGAGGUUUCAUUUCUAGUUUAACCAGCUUACGACAGUCGACAAAGCAUACAUUUUCCAAGCAAAACCACUGCACUCGUCUGACUUUAAAAUGAAGGUUAUUUGAAUUUUCGGGCAUAGGGAAGGUACAACAGAAUUCAAACAAAGGCAUACAAAACAAAGGACCUAUAAUUGGUAGAAAAUGGCCUUUGACAAGCCAUAUGGAAUAGUACGAAUAUUUAAAUACGGGCAUAUAAAACUGGAACAAAUAAUCAAGUGUGUGCACAUAAAAAGGUACCUUGUCUGAUUUGCUUGUGAUGAAUCCACUGCUUGUAGUGAAAGGGGGCACAUCAACCACAUAAGUAGCACUGCUUGAUUUGAGGCAGGAAUCAAUACCAGACUCCAGGUUGUGCAAAAAUACCAAGUCCUGGUGAAAAAUACCAGCCAAUAAACUACUAACAUCAUGAAACCCCUUCCUAAGUUGAUCUACACCAGACUUUAGUCCUGAAAAUUCAGAAAAUUGGUGUUUUCUUUCCUCAGAGUGAGCAGUAGAAACCAUUUCAAGACGUGAAAGAGCUUCGAGCUUGGCGGCCUCUGCAAGAUCCCUUUCCUUGGAGAUUAUAGCAAGUUCACUCGCAGAUUUUGCUAGUUCUUCCUGGAGACCAUCAUUUCUCUCUUGAACCUCAUUCAGUUCUGCAAGGAGUAGGUCUGAUGCUCUUUUUGAUUUCCUAGCUUCUUGUUCUGAAGAAGCCAUAUUCGCACGCAAAUCACAGCACAUUUUCCCGAUUUGUUCUAACUUAACAACUGGAUCACCAGAAUUAUCAUCCUCUGCAACAUCAAUGUUUCCUAGAAUAUUUAUGAUUAAGCUCAAAGUAUUUCCUUUCUCCUGCAAAUUGUUCUCAGCUUCUUUCAAACAAUUCCGCAAGAAUAAACUCUCAGACUCUAGGGCUUCUACCCUCCCUGGAUAAGCAGACAAAUCCCUGAACUUUUGUUCAUAUUCUGCAAGUUUACCUUCGCCUAUCUUGGUCUCAGAUCUCAAGCAUUCCACCUCAGAAUUGAUCUCAUCAAUAUUUUGUUUCAGACUGUCACGCUGUUGUACCAAUUGCUUUCCUUUUCUAACUGCAACGUUUAACUUCUCUCUAACAGAAGCUGACUUCUGCUCCUCCUGAUUAAGAAGCCCUUGCAACUCAUUCACUUUUUUAUCUAGCACUUCUAACUCACAAGCCAAAGACCGUUGCUUCUCCACAUAUCCAUCUCUCUCCUCCUUCACAUCCAAAAUUUCACGUUGAACCUCCUCCAACUCUUUCUUCAAAGCAACUGUAUCUGAUUCAGCAGUAUCAGGUGUACUUGCGCUUCUCGCUUCAACAACCAUUGCUUCAGAAUUUUCAGUAUGAAUACCAUCGGCUGCAACCCCAAACACUGGUUUUUCUGAGGAAAGAGUUGCAUAAUUCUCUAAAAGCUUAUUCAGUAACCCUUCGAAGCACUCAAUGCUGCUUUCACCAGAAUACUCUGAAUUUGUUCCAGGAUCCUGUAAUGCAUCAGUAACCAGACCCUGCAAUCUUCUUAUGUCAUCUUCUAAGCUGAGAAUUUGCUUCUCAAUCCCACGCAGCUUGGCUACAUUCUCCUGCAAAUCAGAAACUUCCUCCUGCAGUUUUUCAUUCUCAAGCUCAAACCCAGCUGCCUUGGCUGAAAGUUUAUCAUGAUCAUUGAUCAGAAGCUCCAAUCUUUGAGAAAGAUUAUUUCUCUCAUCAAUAAAUGUUUGAAGGUCUUCCUCAAGGUCAGAUGUUCUCCUUCUUGAGUCUUCCAAAUCAGCAGUCAGCGUUACACAAUGGCUCUCAAGGUUAACAACCUGCUGCUGGAGAGACAUAUUAUCACCCUGCACCUCCGAAAGUUCUUUUCUUAACCACUCAAUCCUAUCCUCCGGCUCCAAGGACCGCAGAUGCGAUGGCAUAUCAAUCCUGUCUAAAAGUUCCUCCCAUCUCUGGACUAAGUUGUUCCUUUCCAUUAAAGAUUGCUCUAACAUUUCAUUCUGUUCAGCCAACCCAUAGAACUUACUUUGAAGUUCAUCAUAUUUUCUUUUGAAAUCAUCACUGGAAUCUGAACUUGGCUGUACAUCAUCUUUCCAGGAAUCCAUAACAACAAAACCAGCAUCAGAUGAACCUCCUCCAGCAGAACUCUUCUGAUCUGAAUCUGUCUGAGGAAAAGUAUUACCAGUAACUGACCUGGCCAGCCAAUCGAUCUUUUCAAUAAUAUCUCUCGAAUGAAAAUGCUCUGGCAGAUCAAGGUCUUCUAAAAUCUCUUCUAUUCUCUGAAGGACAGAGUCUUUGAGAAGGAAUGAUUCUCUUAAUGCAGUAGCAGAAUUGCGAAUGUAUGAAAGCUCAGAUUCCAGAGCUUCCACACGCUCACCAGCUUCUGAAUAUGCCUUGAGCUUUGUUUCAACCUCAAGAAGCCUGGAAUCUUUCAAUUGCAGCUCCUGUAAGAAUCUUUCCAGUUCACUAGCUUUCUCUGCAAGGGACUGCUUGAGACCAUCUCGCUGGACAAUCAAGCCUUUCCCCUUGGAGACAGCAAUGCUAAGCUUCUCUCUCAGGGAAGACACCCGCUGCUCCGAUUGUUCAAGUUCAUAUAAUUUCUCUUGUAACUCAGAACGAGCAACAAGAAGGGCUUCCUCAACCUGACGUAAACUUUCCCUGAGGACAAUGGUUUCACUUUCAAGCUGAAAAAACGAGGCAUUUAACUGCUGUAUUUCUUCCUGCAUUGAAGUAGAUUCCAUCACCUUGGAUUGAAAACCUUCUUUAGAAAAGCCUACCUGAGCAUCAGCAUCCUUGUACUUCUGAACAAGACACGAUACCAAUGAUUCCAAGCGUGAAGCAAGCAUUUUAUCUGCUUGAAACUCAGCAUUUUCCACUUCUAGCACACCUUCAAUAUCUUCUAUUAACUUCUGAAUAGCACUUGAAUCCAGGCAUCUUUGUUUCAAUUCCUCAAAUUCUUCUGUUCUAACCAUCAACUCUGAAUUUAGCUUCUUGUUAACAGAUUGGAGUUGCAGUCCCUCACUCAGAAAAUUCUCCAGCUGUUCUAUGAUGGUUUCAUAAAUACUAUAAUCCAGAGGAUGAGGAAGCUUUUCAUUUUUCAGGUUCAUCUCACUUUCAUCUAUAGACCCAUGCAAAACUCUAAGAAGUUUGCUAAGGUUGCUGUACAACUUGUGCAGCAUAUCACUGGCCAAUUCAUUCUUUACAUGGAGAUCGUCACAUUUCUCAUUCACUUCUUUAUGUAAAAUACAUAUAGCCUCACGGUCUGUUUGAGAGCUUUUAAGUUUCACCUUCAAAUCUUCAAUAACAGUGAUGGCAUCAUAAACAGAAGCAACGAAAUGACUUGUGUCCAAACAAUCAUGAGAAAUUGGUGUAGUUGUGCUGAAACUCCCAAUAGACUCACCAAGCUUUCCAAUCGCUUCAACAACAGGAGCGAGAGUGGAAUUCCAAUGCUGCUCAAGUAUCAAAACCCUCUCUGCCGCUUCCUUGUGAAAAUUUUCUAACUGAUCAGAGAUCUGAGAUACUAUGUCAUUUGAACUCAGAUGUAAAUCAUGCAAUCGACUCUGCAAUUGAUCAAUUCUUGAUUCAUAUCUAUGUAGCUUUCUUCCAACUUCCAAGUUUUCAGCUUCGAGAUUAGUAACUUUUAGUCUUAAGGACUCACAGAGAACCAAAAGCUCACUGUUCCUUGUUUCAAUGCUGCCCCUAUGUUGUUCUAAAGCUUCAUAUAGGACACAAAGCUCAAUAUUGGUAGCUUCCAAUUUCUUGCUAUGUUCCUCCAAGUCUUCAUACUGAUACUUCAUCUCUCCGAAUGUAGCAUUAGCAGUUCUCCUACCAUCUCGUUCCUCCUUGAGCAGUUCACUGGCAUUUGCAGCAUCCAGAAGCAACUGCUCAAAUAAUGCUCUCAAGUUUCCAGUUUGCUCUCUUACUGACGCAAUUGAAUCUGCUGGUGAUUGAUUGUCAGUUAGACCUCGUUCCUCCACAUCAUGUUCAUCAAGGUGCACCUUUGACUCGAAGGCUUGAAUCAGUUUUGAGACUGGAGGAGUGGAGACUUUAUCACCUGACCUAUUCAACAAUUCUGAACGAGAGCAGAUGCCUUCAAUUUCCUGUACAAGUUUGUUCAUCAUUUUCUCUGCCUCUUCCAUGCGUCCCUUUAGUGCUACAAACCCAACGGAAUCAUCAAAAACUUCCCUCCCAAGAUUCAGAACUGGUGAACCUCCACCGCCAUCAGAUGAAGGUUUUUCCACCAUAAUAAAGGAGCCUUCACUAUCUUCCAUCCCAGGAACUUGGUGAUAUUUUUCAUUUUCAAUUUCAUGCCUCCUGCUCCGCACUUCUGAAAGUUCAACUUGAUCCCCAUCUUCCCCAGCUUGGGAUGCAAUUUUGAUUCCACUGGUAUCAACCUCUUUCAUCUUAGCUUUAAGUGUGUCCAGACUGCUAGUGAGAAAGAUAUUUUCUUCGGAGAGUUGUUCAAGGCGUGUCGUUGUUUCUUUUAGGUCAACCACAAACCUCAUAUGUUCUUCAUGUUUGGCAGAUAACCGCUUUUGAAGAACAAGAAUUUCGGAAGAAAAUCUCUCAAUCUCGUGGGCAGAAUAAUCCUUCUCCUCCUCGAGCUUCUUUCUCUCCUCUGUAACCAAAACAAGGUUUCCAUUCAAUUUUUCAUUUUUUACCUGCAAAUCCAAUACUAAAUUCUUACUGGCAGCCAAUUCUAUUGCAAGUUUCUCAUUCUCAUAGAAAAGAUGAUUCUUCUCUUCCUCAAGCUUCUUACUCUCCUCUGUAACCAUAGAAAGGAUUCCAUUCAAGUUGCUAUUUUCUACCUGCAAAGCCAAUACUGUGUUCUUACUGUCAGCCACUUCUAUAGCAAGUUUGUCAUUCUCAGAGGAAAGAUGCUCCUUCUCCUCCUCAUACUUCUUUCUCUCUUCUGUUACAGAACUCAGACUCCCACUUAAGCUGGAUAUUUGAUCCUGUAGAGCUUCCACAAAACUUUUUCCAUCAACUAACUCUGCUGAAAGCUUCUCCUUCUCGUGAAGAUAACAAUCAUUUUGCUCAACAAGUUUCUUUCUAUCUUCAUCCGACAAAGCAAUACUCCCAUUUAAUUUCUCAUUUUCCACCUGUAAAGCUGCCACCAAAGACUUGCAGUCAGCUAACUCAGCUGACAGGAUCAACAAAUCCUGCUUCGACCUUUCCAGGCUGCUAAGCGACUCAGUUGCUCUAGCAGAAAAUUCUUCUACCUCUGCCCUCGCAGUUUGAAGUUGGUCGUGGAGCUCCUCCUUCCCACUAGCAACAGCCUGGAGUUCACAUCUGCACCCUGCAAGCUCUUCAGCAAGGCAUUGGUUCUUCUCACGGACUUCAUUUAGUGAAGCAUGAAGAAGAGAUGUUUCAUCAAGUAACUGAUCACGUUGGCAAUCAAACUCCACUUGCAUCUCAGACUGCUGCACAAGCUGCAAGUCACUGAUAUCUUUUGUCAAAUGUGUGAGAACCAAUUCUUCUUUAAGUUGCUCAAACAAUUCCAGAAAUCCAUGUUCUGGCACAAUCAAAUUGGUAGUCCCCUGAGAUGCACUAGAAACUGAUUCAACUGACUUAAAAAGAACCCUGAACUCUUCUUCACUAAGCCUCCUAACUACUUCUGUGAGCUGUGAGAGACUGAUUGAGCUGGCAUCCACAACAGGAGACGCAGUCCAUCCUUUAUCUGGAAGCACCAUAUUGGUUCCUGGAGGACUUUCAAGCCCACCCAAUGGAUGUUUCUGAUGAUGAUCCUCCAGAAGGGCCCUAUGUUCUUCCCCACCUUGCCCAAAACCAGAUCCAAAUUGCACCUCGGACUUUUCUUCAAAAUAAGAGCCUGGAACAUCUUCUGUUUCCUGCCGGUCAUCCAUAGCAGCACUAACAACCAAAGAUCCAUCUGCCUCAGGUAGAGCUAAAGCAAAUACUGGGAGUCCAUCAGACAUGGUUGCACCAGUUGACAGAGAUGAUUCAUCUGCCUUGCCAAUCCGUUCACCCAUGGACGACUCGAGAUCAGGGAAAGUUUCAGCAGUUCUAUCAAUCUCAGACAGAGCUACACUUCUAUCUCCUGCAAGUUCCACUUCUCGAUCAGAUACUUCAUCCACUUUAUCAGUUUGCUCAUCUAUGGAAGGUGCUUGGCUAGAGAAACUUUCAACACUUCUAUCAAGCUCAGAUGAAGAAAUCUUGUCAUCUCCUUUACGCCCCAUUUCUGCUUCUUGACUACGAUCACAAUUUUUUGCAUCCAAACCAUCAGCUGCCUGCAUUGCCCCUACCCAGCAACAAAUGAGAUUCUAAUUAUACAUCAAACCCAUCAGUUUUCCUAACCUGCUCAAUUAAUAUCCGGAAGAAUCCCAAAGUAAUAGAAAGUUAAAUAACAAAAGGAGAAGGGCACAACCUACAUCUGUUACCUGAUCUUCCCUCUCCUGCACCAAGGAUGUAUUAAUACUCUCUGGCGAAGGCAAAGGCUCCUCAUCUCUACCCUUUGUUUGAUCAGUAUUAUCAACUGAAAUAGGUUGCAUGGACACAUCAACCGGCAUAGACAUAUUGGCAUCUUUGGCUAGCCCUCCGGAAUCCAUGACAUGUGAAGUGUCCAAUGAACUAACUCUUGCCUCCUCAGCAUCAGUGCCCACAGUACUCUCCCCCUCGUUCGUGGCGGAAAAGUUAACAUCAUGCUGACUGAAUGCCACCUCCUGUGAUGCUAACUCAGCAUUUUUGUCAAUCAAAGUUUCAACUGCAUUUCCCUCAUGUGUAAUGGGAACUGCCGAGGGAGCAGCAGAAGCAACUUCAAUGUCAGAAGCUGUAGAAAUCUCCCCAGAAUGUGACCCUGACGAGUUGAUGCUUUCCAGAUUAGCAUCUACACGAGACUCAGUUUCUCCUUCAGGGGCCUGAGUCAACGCUGUAGGUUUAGUUGCACUAGAGACUGCAUCAGCAUCAGCUUCAUGCUUCUCUGAUUUACUAGACUUCUUUGUGGAUUUUCCACUUCCACUGCCUUUACCAUCUUUUUUCUGGCGAAACUGUUGAAGCUGCCGGCAGAAAUACAAGAUUAUAUAUUAAGUUCCCACAGCUCAUUUGCACUCUCCAGUUGAUUACUAAGACAUUGAGGAACAGAGCAGAAAAUAGAGUAGCAAACCUAUAGGCACGUACCAUACAAAAAAGUUUUCCAAGUAAAAGGAUACAGCUCAGACAAGUUACAUUUUAUCAGGAACCAAAAAUUAGGUCACAAGACACAUUGUCCAGAGGUCAGUGUACCUUUUUUCGUCCGGCUGAGAGCAGAUCGGUACGGCUCUUGUUCUUGUCCAUCCGAUUCCGAUCCACUCCGUUCUUGCUCCCCACUGUGACUCCACGCCAAUCACCACAGCAACGUCUCACUCACCAUAUAAUCCUUCCUAUAAACCAUUAAACACAACCACACCAUUACAUUGGAUAGAACUACAAAUACUCGUGCUGAAUGGAACUACAAAUGCUAGAAAAUAACAGAAAAUUUCAAAUUUCAAAACUCGAAGUUUAGUGCUGAUUUCCGGCAAAUGAGGGCCACGCAAACACUAAACUAGGUUCAAUUUCGAUCACAACGACAUUCUUAUUCAAUCUCAUUUUCUCGGCAGCCAAACAGGAUACAAUAUCAUAUGAAAUCGGAUUCGAAAAGAUCCAGAACCUAAUUCAUUCACUCUCUAAUCAAACAAAUCUUAAAACAAGCAAAUCAAAACGAAGAAAACAGUACGAAUCAUACAAUAUAAAACGAGUAGAUUGGAAAACUGAUAGGAAGAUAUCGUACCUGGAUGUCGCGGCAGCUGGAUCUGCAGGCCGUCGCGGUUGAUACGAUUGCUUCGGUGGUUGCGAAUGAAGGUUUGCUUUUCAAUGGCGCCCUCUCGGUUUCUCUAUCGGCGUCACUGUGUGUGUAUACGGGUCGGUCCCCCGUUGUCCCUUGGAUCUAACGCAACCUUCGUUUUCGUUUUGUGUCUCUGCUACGCCAUGUGAUUUGCCUGCGCAGGUGAAAUGUCGAUUUGGGAAGACAAGUGAAACGUCGCUGUUUUGGAGGUUUGGUUGGACUUGGGGCAACCGUUUCCUCUUUGCUGUUGAAAACCCAAUACGCGACUUAUUUCGAGCCUUAAUAAAUUAGUGGUCCUUCCAAUUUGCAAAAUGUUUCCACUCAUGUGGCCCAUUGGGCUCAAAAGUGUCUUUCAACGUACAACCAUAUUAAGUCGAAGAUUCGAACUAAAUCAAAUAAUAAGUUAAUAAUAACUUGGUAUCAAACUUGUUAUUUGUGAGGGUCAAACUUAAGAUCUCUCAUCUAUAAAUACACAAAAAUAUUACUAAAUAGUAGUGCUAAUGACGGAUAUACGCGUUGACUUUUACGUAAUUUUAUUUAGUUUUGAUUGAUUGCUCAUGGAGCAGAUCCAUCACUUCAAGCUUAGACUUUAGGCUCUAAUGCAUAACUAUAUCCUAAAUAAUCAAAUUUUUGUCAGUAAAUGAGAUAGAAAUAGAAGAAAAUUGUGUAUAACUGAUGUCUUCUCAAGCUUUUGUGUUUUCGCUCUUACCUACAAAAUUUAUGUCCUAUUUUCAGCUUGAUUGUUUUAUAAAAUAAAGAAACCAUUUUAGUCAAGAUAUUGGAGUCCAGUGGUGAGGUGGGUGGGUAGAAUUAUGGAUAGGAGAACAUUUUAUGUUUACUCAAAAUACAUAGUACAUAAUGAGUUAUAAUAUAAGUAGAAACCAUGAUUGAUAUGACCAUUGUAACUAAAAAAAUAUCCAUUUUGAUCCUCUUAACAAACCAAAUUCAGGUCGUGACCGGGCUCACAAGACCCACUCUAAUGACAAGUUUAUAUAAAGGUAAUCAGAAUCGAAAAACGAAAUUGAACUCUCACUACAUCACACUUCAGUGUUUACCGAAUGUUGGGGAAUAAAAAAGUUGGUGAGACCCAUGCAAAUCUAACUCCAAAAUUUAGAGAAAUUGGAUUCCCUACAUUUAACAGGUAUUUGGAUUCCGGAUUGCUAGGGAAUCCAAAAUGGAUUUUUCCUUCUCAUUAUACCCUCACUUAUUUGUAAAAUUUCAAGAUUUCCCUUUACAUUAACCCCACACCACCAACUGCUGCCAAUUUAAUAAUAAUAAUAAUAACAAAAUUGAAAUUAAACUAAAAUUUUAAAUUUCAGUGUGUUUAAUAUUUGGCGAAUAGAGGCAUUUAACAUUUUUUUUCUAUUAUACUUUAGUAUAUAAGAUCAUUUAUUUAAUUAAGAGCAUUUUAGUAAGGCUUUUUCGCUAAACUGUUCUUGAAAUUAAAAUAACUCAUCACUUUGACCCUUAAGAUUUGAAAUCGAUGAAAUUGAUCUCUGAGUUUGUUUACAGUCAAACAUUUUAGUGUUUUUAUUUGAAUUAUUGACUAGUAAACGAGUAAUAAGUCUCCAAUGCUCCUUUAGGAUUAAAUGGCUGGAUCCGUAGACGGCCGAUGCAAGUCCAAUGAAACAAGCCCAAACAGUCUUCAUAACUAAAAUGUUAGAAGACAGAGAGGCCUAUCAAUAUAGCGUUGUCUUUUGGUCGGAAGGCCUAAAAUAAAGCAUAUGGAUUAUGGAGUGCUUAUUUCCACUAAUGACCUACUUUCACAAAAAUUAUAAUAUGAUGCUAGGAGAAAAUUUUCAAGUGUACUGGAAACACGACUCAGUACAUCUAGUGUUAUAAUACAAUUUGUUGAAAUUUUUUUUCAAGUUUCUAACUAAUUGUAUUAUUACACUUAAUGUAUCAGAUAGUGUUUCCGACUCGCUGAAAAAUCUCUUCUGAUCCAGAAAAUUCAAGGCCUACCAAGAUGCUAAGAAUCAUAUAUUAUUUUAUAAUUUGCACGAAAAUCAAACUUUAUGUAAUUUAAUGUCCAAUGUUGUGUGAACUAAAAGCCAUAUAAAAAAAUAAUGAAAACAAGCAACUAAGGAUGUAUUGACCUAUAGUUAAAUUAUAUAUAAACAAGUCACAUUGCUAGUUGGAUGAUGCUUUUAAGUACUCCAAAAAACCCUUGUUAUAAUAUAAUUAUCAAAGACAACCCAUUUUAUUUGACUUUUUUUAGAUUUUAAAAAUUUGGUAUGGGGAAUAAAAAUAUGGCACCAUUAGGUGUGCUUAUCUUCAAGUGUGAGGAGCAUCAAAUAUUGAAAAGAUAGGAAUUUGGGUUUAUUUAUUAUGUCCAUACAAAAUGUUUCUAGCAAAGAAUCAAAUCAUGUGCGUAUCAAGCAUAUCGACAAGGAAAUAAUUCUUUUUUUAUUUUGGUCGUCUUAAAUUUAUAGAUUUAAUAUUUUUGUAUGCAAAGUCAAAUAUGAUAUAAUGGAUUCGUAUUGAGAUUGAAGAGAUUUUUGGAGUUUUUUUUAAUACAUCGAUAUUUUUAUAUUAGGGGGAAUGAGAGUUUGGCUAAGUCACACAAUGAACAACUUAAUUUGGUGUCGAAUUCGCUAUUCACGAGAUUCGAACCUAAAACCUCUCAUUUCCAAGUAAAGAGAUUUUUGGAGUUAAAAGAGGGAUCGACUCAGAGGUUGCUACAGUAGGCUGACUUCUAGCAAAAAUUGACUAGUCAUACUUUUCCUUCCAAUUUGACAAAAGAAAAAACUACUCAACCUACAUAAGUAAAAGUAUAAUAGAAAAAAGGCUUAAAUGUCAAAAUGGUCCAUGUGUUAUAGCCAUAUGAUCAAUUUAGUCUCCGUGUUUUGGAAUUGACUAAUUUAGUCAUCGUGUUUAUCUUUGUUAGCCAAUUAAAGAUAUUUCAUUCAAUAUCUGUUAAAAAAUUCAGAAGAAAGAUUAUAAGAGAUAUAAUGUAACAUCCCAUAUCGCCCAGGGAAGUGGAUCAUGUAAGCCUUAUAUGUAUAUUCUCAUCUCUACCCAACACAAGGCCUUUUGGGAGCUCAUUGGCUUCAGGCUCCAUCAAAACUCUAAAGUUAAGCGAGAUCGCAGCGAGAGCAAUUCCAGGAUGGGUGACCCACUGGGAAGUUCUUAUGUGAGUUCCUAUAAACAAAACCGUGAGGGCGUGGUUGGGGCCCAAAUGGGACAAUAUCAUGCUACGGCGGAGUCGAGCUCGGGAUGUGGUGGGGGCCCGGGUCGAGAUAUGACAAUUUGGUAUCAAAGCCAAUCCAUGGCCGGAAGUGUGCUGACGAGGACGUCGGGCCCCUAAGGGGGGUGGAUUGUAACAUCCCACAUUGCUUAGGGAAGUGGAUCCUGUAAGCUUUAUAUGUAUAUUCUUAUCUCUACUUAGCACGAGGCCUUUUAGGAGCUCAUUGGCUUCGGGUUCCAUCGGAACUCCGACGUUAAGUGAGAUCGUAGUGAGAGUAAUCUCAGGAUGGGUGACCCACUGGAAGUUCUUGUGUGAGUUUAUAAAAACAAAACCGUGAGGGCAUGGUCAUGGCCCAAAGCGAACAAUAUCGUGCUACGGCAAAGUCGAGCCAAGGAUAUGGUAGGGGCCCGGGCCGGAUGUAUAUUCCCAUCUCUACCUAGCAUGAGGCCUUUUGGGAGCUCAUUGGCUUCAGGUUCCAUUGGAACUCCGAAGUUAAGCGAGAUCGCAAUGAGAGCAAUCUCAUGAUGGGUGACCCAUUGGGAAGUUCUUGUGUGAGUUCCUAGAACAAAACCGUGAGGGCGUGGUCGGGACCCAAAACGGAUAAUAUCAUGCUAAGACGGAGUCGAGCCCAGGAUGUGGUGGGGGCCCGAGUCGGGAUGUGACAAUUUGGUAUUAGAGCCAAUCCUUGGCCUGAAGUGUGUCGACGAGGACGUCGGGCCCCUAAGGGAGGUGGAUUGUAACAUCCCACAUCGCACAGGGAAGUGGAUCUUGUAAGCCUUAUAUGUAUAUUCCCAUCUCUACCUAGCACGAAGCUUUUUGGGAGCUCAUUGGCUUCGGGUUCCAUCGGAACUCCAAAGUUAAGCGAGAUCGCAACGAGAGCAAUCCCAGGAUGGGUGAUCCACUGGGAAGUUCUUGUGUGAGUUCCUAGAAACAAAACCAUGAUGGCGUGGUCGGGGCCUAAAGCGGACAAUAUCGUGCUACGGCGGAGUCGAGCCCGGGAUGUGGUGGGGGCCCGAGCCGGGAUGUGACAUAUAAUUACCCUUUCUCUAUGGAAAAAUGCAAAUCGAUAAAAAUUAACACAUAUAAGAGGUAAAACUUCCAAUCUAAAAAAUGAUUAAGAUUGCAACAUAGAAAAGAUAUGGGGUAACUUUAGGGAGGAGGUCGGGGAGUUGGGAGGAAAAUAAUUUUUCUUUUAACUUUUAAUUUUAUUUCAUUUUAAAAUAUUUUAAAUCAAAUAAAUAAUUUUAUAAAUAAGUUUAUAAUCAUUUUUAAAUUUAUUUUACAUAAAUUAGAAGGAAAUGUCUUUAAUUGGCUAACAAAGAUAAACAAGGACCAAAUUGGCCAAAUUAAAAACACAGAAACUAAAUUGACCCAAUGACUAAAACACAGAGACCAUUUUAACAUUUAAGCUUAGAAAAAAAAACUAGGACUUACCAACUGAUUAGUAAAGUUUUCUUACUAAAAAAAAAGUUAGUAAAGCUUUAAGACUCAUUUAGAAGUGCUUUUAAAAUGGCUAAAAGUGUUUUUGGUGAAAAUGAUUUGGAACCAAUCUUUAAUAAAAAUGCAAGCGAAUCUUAGAGAAACCUUGAAGUGCUUCUUGCAAAAAGCAUCAAUCAUGUAUUUCUUGCAAUAAGCACAAAUCAUGUGCUUCUUGUAGGAAUCUGUUUAAGUGUUUUUGGAACUUAAAAAUAUUUUUUCUAAAAAAGCGGUUUCAGUCAUUUCAAAAACACUUCUAAACAAAUUCUUAGACAGUUACUCAACAAAAAUUUCCUUUGAAUGUUAAUUUUUUUUUCUCCCAAAAGAUAGACUUUAUUAAAUUUCUAAUUGAAAUGUUUACAUCUUCAGCCAAGAUGUUAAAAAGGAACUCAGAACCAAUACAAUCCCAUCUAAAAAAACCUCCAAUUUUUUGAAUAAAUGCUGCAGCUGAAUUGAAUGAUAUAUAUUUACCUUAAGGGGUGAGAAUUUGUGCUAAACCACAAAAUAACCAGUCCUAAGAAAUUGAAAUUGUACUUGCCAUUAAUAAAAUUCAAACUAUGAUAUCUCACUUAUAAGUAAAGAAAAUAUUAUUAAACCGUAGUUUUAAGUAGUCCUUCAAAUGUUAUUAGAUACGUUCACAAUAAAUAUUAUAAAAAUAUAGCACAUCACAUUUAUUUUUAUUUAUUUUCCACCAACAUACAUUGCAGUGGAUCAUAAUUCAAGAAGGAUGGUUAUUAAGAUUAGUAUGAUAAGAUCAAUAUCUUAGAGGACCCUACAUAUUGGAGACCAUAUCACUCGUGAUGAAUUAAAAAAAUAUAUACCCAUCACAUCGUUUCUUUCUGGCAUGAACCCUUGGUAUAGUAGAACACACUUUCUAUAAAUUAUUUAUGGCAACUGCACUCUUUAGCAAUAGGUAAUUAUUGUUUUAGUGAAUAAUAAAAUUUGGGUGCAUCUCUACUUCGUAAAUGAAUUAUUCAGCAAUUGGCAUUGAAAUUUUUUUUUUUAUAAACUAAUAAAAAGAUAUAUAAUGUUAAUUUAGGAUAUGAUUUUUUAACCAAUCACGUCAUGCCAUGUGUCAUUAUCCAAAAUUCUAAAUUUUGUGGAAGAGUAUGGUUUCUAAAUUAGAGUAUGGUUGGGUACUUAUAAGAAAAACUAAAAAAAAAAAAGAUUUCCAUUUUUCUAUAUUUUCUUUAAUUUUUAACAGUAAUUUACCAAAUUAAUGUUGUCACAGCCCGUCCCGAAUUAUAUUUUUAUGGGGUGAAAUUACUAUAUUACCCUUGAACGUUUUGUGGGGUUGUGGGGUCUAAACUUAGGAUUUGGACCCAUUUCUUUUAUUCCCAAGUGUUUGGAACUUAAGUUAUUUUCUUGUAUUGGGGACCAAUCCGGACCACACAUACACCCAUACACACACGUUGACUCUCUCUCUCUCUCCUCCCUCUUUCUCGGACUUCUUUCCAUUUCCAUACAAGUGUACGGAUGAACCUUGAACCUUCACUUCCAUCCCCAGAUCAAACAUUUGGAGACCAUUUUUAAGUUCCUUGUGAGCCCAGGAACCUAUUGAUACCGUUUUUAGAACGUGAAGACCUCAUUUUCCCGAGAACCCAGGAACCCAGGAACCCAGUUUUGGGUUAAUGUUCAUGCACUCGUGAAUUCGAAGUUUUUAGGAGAUUUUAAGCUGCUAGUGAGCUUUAUGACAUCUUCAUGAAGCUCGGAGAAGAAAAAUGAAGUGAAUUGGACAUUCAGAAGUCGAGUUUUACAAGUUUCAAGUUUGGCCGGAAUAUCGAGGUUCCUCCGGCGAAAUCCCUUGGAUUUCAAGGCUUGAAAGUGGUAAGGUUUUGUUCUUCUAGUCCUAAGCUUCAUUUUGGUACAAAUUUCAUGGAUUUUGGUGUAAAAAUGAAGAAGAUAUGAAGGUUUCUAUAUUUUCCAGUUUUCGGCGAUCGCAGCAAUGCCGGUGAACUAAGGAAGACGAAGGAGAAUAUUUCGUCAAGUCUGACGGAAUAUUCUAACAGCGUUAGGUAACGCCGUUAACUUCUAUUAAGAUUUAACGGAAUAUUCCUAACGGUAGUUAAGUUUCAAUUAGGGUUUGGUCGCACGUGGGAGCGCGUCUGGCCGUGCCUUGGCCGGCGCGUGAAGGUGCGUGGGGUCAUGAAAGUUUUUUCUAAAAAUAUGGGGAUGUUCCUGAGGUUGAGUAGGUCAUGGUGGUAUAUUCAAAUACCCCAUUUGAGCAUUGUAUGAGAAGUUAUUUCCUAGUUUUGUGUAUGUGCUUUAAAUAACGUUUAUUCAGUUAUUUUGCAUAUAGGUGAGACCUAUCUUGAGGAUGAGUGCCAUCAAUCGAGGCUCUGGGGCUACGACCCUUCGACAUAUUAGUGAGUGGGUUUUUGGUUUUUCGUAUAUACCUAUAUACUUGAGAUUUUUCCCAGAAAGUGAAUUUGAAUGAUUAUACGUUUUGAAAUGCCAUGCAAAGUAUCUACCUAUUUUAUUUAUGUAUUAGUAGUUGCAUAUAUUUAUGAUUGGUACUACGGACGCAUAGGUAAGUGCCAGGUAAGUUCAUAAAUUAAAGAUAUGAGAGUGCUUCAGUUAUGUGAGAUAUGAUGUGAUGUAUUGAGAGCUCAUAAACCUGCACCCUGGUGUUAGUGCUGCCGCCCAGAGUUAGGGCACAGUCCUUCACGUGAUCUUUACUUCCCACACCAUAUGCUUACCUUGGAUCCAAGUUAGGUGCACAUGCUUGUCGUACAUACCACUUUAGGUGGUUCCGACUCGUAGGUGACUCGCGAUCAUUCGCACAGUCUUCACGUGAUCGUAGCACUAUAGCAUAUUUAUUUUACACCUAGUCUUGUCGUACAAACCGCUUUAGGUGGUUCUGACUCGUGUGCAAGAUUUGAUUUGAUAUGGUUGUGAUUGAUUAUGAGUUAUAGACUCAGCCAUACAAAUUAAGUUAGGGGGAUUCGGUUGAUAUGAUAUCUGGCAUUGAUAUGUUUUAACUGGAUUACUUAUAGCAUUUCUUUGGGAUACUUUGGCAUGGUAUAUUUCUAUGGAUUUUCAUCCUGAGUAUGAUUUCUGAUAUAGUAUAUAUUAUUUUCUGGGAAAUUAUACAGGUUUUACGGCGAGGGGUUAGAACUUUUGAGAAAUGAAAUGAUUUUGAAAAGCUUUGUUUUUGCCCAUUCACACUUUCUGUUUUGCGCCCAUCCAGGUUUUAGGUAGAAGUGUUUGGUGGAUCACGAGGAUUUCGACGAGGGUUCUAACAGAACAUCAUUAAUGUAGGAUCACUUUUAGGUGUUGUAUAAUUAGUAUUUAUCUUGUUUGACCGCACUUAGGAUAUUUAUGCUCUGGUUGUGUAUUUCACACUUAAUCUCGCACUUGCACCUUAUCUUAUCUAGUACUCUAGUGGAGUUGGUUUUUGUUUAUUCGUAAUUCCUUAUAUCUCUAUUGCUUCCGCACUGUGCACAUGGCUACGUCACCCUCACGUGACGAACAUCAUGCCCUGAUUCUGGUUGGGGUGUGUCAAAUGUGGACCGUUAGAUACAGUUUUUCUAUAAUCAUACAACCAAGGUUGUGCCUGGACCCAUAUUUUUUCCUUUUUUAUUUUUUUUAUCCUUAACAAGAAUGGAUUAAUAUGAACUGUUGGAUUAUAAGAUAGUUAGAAGUCCAAAGGUCCACGUUGUGCCGCGUAUACAAGCUGUUGGAUUAGACAUUUAUUUUUGUCAACAUUUGAAGUCCAACGGUCCAGAUUUUUUAUCGGUGGAUCCAACAAAAAGAAACGGGCCACAUCGCCCCACCCUUAGUGCGCUGCAAGUUGGGCCACACCGACCUUUUUUGUCUGCCAACGUGCCACCCACACGUGUGUGUUGUGUUGACGCAAAAAAUAAAAAAUAAAAAAUUUAAAAUUUAAAAUUAAAGCAUGGCUAAAGUCAAAUAGCACUCGGGUGCACUCACUAGCAUGGAUUGUCGGAUGGCUUGGUCUAUAAAACUUGGGCCCACAUACUGCCCGACUUUUUGGAGUGAGUUGGAGAUGGCUUUUUGGGUUUUAGGAGAAUCAAUAUCGAUUAUCUAAAGUAUAUUGGUAAAUUACAUAAAACUACCUCUAUUGGUCGUAUUACAAUUUCAUACCUCAUGUUUUGAACAUUGCAGUAUCAUACAUCUACUUAUGAAUUCGUUGCAAUUUUAAACCUCCACUAAAAAAAUUGUUAAUUAUUCUGUUAACUGAUGACAGGGCAGAUAUGGACCCCACUUAUUUGCCUAAUUAAAUUAAAAAUUAAUAGAUUAAAGAUUUUUUCUAAUCAUAACAAAAUUUUAAUUAAAAAAAAUCUCUCUUUCUCCUACCAGACAACUCUCUUCGAAUUCCUCCGAUCCUCGCAACCAUAACACCAACCAUCAAAGACUCCAUGGACAUCGAGACCUUUUACGACAACAUCAUUGCCACCAUCAUCAUUCGGUGAUGGAGAGAGCAUGGUGGGUGGUUCCGGGCGAUCGAGUUGCUUCGCCGUCAGGGAAACGAUUUUGAUUGGUUCCAGGAUUUCAGUUAGACUCAAUCUAGAAAACAGACCUCGACAAGGCUCAUGACAAAUCUGAGGUAGGGGAUUGGAAGUGAAAAUGAUGCGGUUGGGUAAACGGGUCAUUGGAGAUGACUGGGGAGGAGAAAGGAUGAAGUCGAUGUAGUUGUAGCUGAGGCAGUUGUUGGUGAGGGAGAUGACUCGGAAGUUGGCGAGCCUGGUGAGCUCGGUUGAUUUCGUCCUUGAGCUUUUGUUAGGAUCGAGCUGUUGUGGAAUUGUGCUCGAACAUUUCCCACUUAAGGAGGGGUGUUGAGCCCAACCUUAGACAUGAGGGAUAGGCGAAUUUGAGGUGAUUGAUAGGUGGGGGUGGCGGGGAGUGUUCUUGGGUUAUGGUUUUGGUGGUGAAUGAAGGAAGGGGAAGACAAUGGAGCGGGGAUGUUGUUUAGGCGUUGACCCGCCAACAGCGCAAACAAUCUAAUACUACAAUAGGCAAAACAUUAAUAAGAAGAUGGCCUUGAAUUUGAUGAGAAUAUGAGUGAUUUGGCGAUGGCCUUGCGACUGAGAGUGCGAGUACGACUACGGUAGGGACUUUGGAGUAAUGGAAGGCACUGCUAAUGUGGUCGUCAUUGUUAAUAUGGUUGCCGCUGUUGGUGGAAUCGAAGACGGUAGGGAUUUUGGAGUAGUGGAAGGCGUCAUUCUAGGAGGGAGGAAAAACUCGAUGGAGUCUAGGGAAGAGAUGUUGUGGGUUGACGGUAGGCCCACAAAAUUAUUUGUUUUUAUUUAACUUUAAUUGUUAAAUAAAAUAAUAAAUAACUUACAAUGUGCCUCGACACCUUGCCCUUAUUCUCAACAAUCAGGUGAUGAAAUGUACAACCCGUACUCUCUUUCAUGCCACAAACUAGGUGAUGAAAUGUACAACCCGUACUCUAAUAUCAUUUGGCAACUUGCCAUUCGUGCCAUCAACCAGGUGAAGAAGGAACUUAUCUUCGUGCCACCAACCAGGUGAUGAAAUGUGAUGAAAGGUGAUAAAGGAACUCACAUUCGUACCACCAACCAAGUGAUGAAAGUAACUCACCAUUCAUUCCACCUACCAGAAGACGUGUGGUAAAACUUGUACAUGUGAACUCCUAGCAUUCACAAAUAAUCAAAAACCCUCAAAAGCUUGACAACUCAACUAGGGGAGCACUUAUGCCCAACAAGAGUUAUAGUCACCAACAAAGUCUUAUUGCAAGCCAACAACAACUUCAGUGCAUGGCAUAUGAAGAUCAAGUUAUUCAGCCCUCUUGCAUCUGCUUCAGACAUUUCUCUUCUGUAACAAUGCAAACACUACAACUCGUAGAAAGCUUCACACACUCUUGAUCAAGACAGUGUGAAGCAAAACCAAUUUAUGGUGCCAACAAGAGCUUCAUCAAUGGAGGGCAACCACAAUUCUCAAAAGCUUCACACACUCUUGAUUAAGAUAGUGUGAAGCAAAACCAAUUUAUGGUGCCAACAAGAGCUUCAUCAAAGGAGUUCAACCACAAUUCUCAAAAGCUUCACACACUCUUGAUCAAGACAAUGUGAAGCAAAACCAAUUUAUGGUGGCAACAAGAGCUUCAUCAAUGGAGGGCAACCACAAUUCUCAAAAGCUUCACACACUCUUGAUCAAGAUAGUGUGAAGCAAAACCAAUUUAUGGUGGCAACAAGAGCUUCAUCAAAGGAGUUCAACCACAAUUCUCAAAAGCUUCACACAUUCUUGAUCAAGACAGUGUGAAGCAAAACCAAUUUAUGGUGCCAACAAGAGCUUCAUCAAUGGAGGGCAACCACAAUUCUCAAAAGCUUCACACACUCUUGAUCAAGACAAUGUGAAGCAAAACCAAUUUAUGGUGCCAACAAUAGCUUCAUCAAAGGAGUUCAACCACAAUUCUCAAAAGCUUCACACACUAUUGAUCAAGACAGUGUGAAGCAAAACCAAUUUAUGGUGCCAACAAAAGCUUCAUCAAUGAAGAGCAACUACAACUCGUAGAAAGCUUCACACACUCUUGAUUAAGACUGUUCGAAUCAAAUUCAGUUUAUAUAGUUCAUCCAAACCUUCGACUACUACAAGGUGUGGCUUGCAUCACAAUUUCUUGCUCAAUAGUGUGGAAGCAAAAUUUGUAUAUGUUGUCUCUCCCACAUUUUCAAAUUUCUAAUUUUCCAAAAAUAAAAAAAAAUUGUGAAAUUCAACAAAUUUCUAGUUUUCCCAAAAAAAAAAUGAAAAAAAAAAGAAAUUGGGAAAUUCAACAACUUCAACAAAUGAAGGGCAACUACAAAUUCUCAAAAGCUUCACACUAUUUUGAUCAAGAAAGUGUGAAGCAAAAUCAAUUCAUGGUACCCAACAAAGCUUUAACCUCAAAGCUUCAUCUACAAAGCUUCAACACCAAAGCUUCAACCAGGUGAUGAAAUGUACAACCCGUACUUUCCUUCAUGCCACCAACCAGGUGAUGAAAUGUACAACCUGUACUCUAAUAUCAUUUGGUAACUUGCCACUCAUGCCACCAACUAGGUGAAGAAGGAACUCAUCUUCGUGCCACCAACCAGGUGAUGAAAUGUACAACCUGUACUCUCCUUCAUGCCACAAAUCAGGUGAUGAAAUGUACAACCCAUACUCUAAUAUCAUUUGGCAACUUACCACUCAUGCUACCAACUAGGUGAAGAAGGAACUCAUCUUCGUGCUACCAACUAGGUGAUGAAAUGUGAUGAAAGGUGAUGAAGGAACUCACAUUCGUACCACCAACCAAGUGAUGAAAGCAACUCACCAUUCAUUCCACCAACUAGAAAACGAGUGGUACAACUUGUACAUGUGAACUCCUAGCAUUCACAAAUAAUCAAAAACCCUCAAGUUUUACAACUCAACUAAGGGAACACUUAUACCCAACAAGAGUUAUAGUUACCAACAAAGUCUUAUUGCAAGCCAACAAUAACUUCAGUGCAUGGCAUACGAAGAUCAAGCUAUUCAUCCCUCUUGCAUUUGCUUCAGACAUUUCUCCUUUGUAACAAUGCAAACACUAUAACUCGUAGAAAGCUUCACACACUCUUGAUCAAGAUAAUGUGAAGCAAAACCAAUUUAUGGUGCCAACAAGAGCUUUAUCAAUGGAGGGCAACCACAAUUCUCAAAAGCUUCACACACUCUUGAUCAAGAUAGUGUGAAGCAAAACUAAUUUAUGAUGCCAACAAGAGCUUUAUCAAUGGAGGGCAACCACAAUUCUCAAAAGCUUCACACACUCUUGAUCAAGACAGUGUGAAGCAAAACCAAUUUAUGGUGCCAACAAAAGCUUCAUCAAUGAAGGGCAACUACAACUCUUAGAAAGCUUCACACACUCUUGAUCAAGACUGUUCGAAUCAAAUUCAGUUUAUAUGGUUCAUCCAAACCUUCGACUAUUACAAGGUGUGGCUUGCAUCACAAUCUCUUACUCAACAGUGUGGAAGCAAAAUUUGUAUAUGUUGUCUCUCCCACAUUUUCAAAUUUCUAAUUUUCCCAAAAAAUAAAAAAAUAAAAAAAAUUGGGAAUUUCAACAAAUUUCUAUUUUUCCAAAAAAAAAAAAAGAAAAAAAAAAGGAAAUUGGGAAAUUCAACAACUUCAACAAAUGGAGGGCAACUACAAAUUCUCAAAAGCUUCACAAUAUCUUGAUCAAGAUAGUGUGAAGCAAAAUCAAUUCAUGGUACCCAACAAAACUUCACCACAAAAGUUUCGCCAACAAAAGUUUCAACAAAUGGAGGGUAACUACAAAUUCUCAAAAGCUUCACACUAUCUUGAUCAAGAUAGUGUGAAGCAAAAUCAAUUCAUAGUACCCAACAAAGCUUCACCUACAAAGCUUUACCUAUAAAAGCUUUACCUACAAAAGCUUCAACACCAAAGCUUCAACACCAAAGCUUCACAUAUAAAGCUUCACCUACAAAAGCUUCAACACCAAAGCUUUACCUGCGAAAGCUUCACCUACAAAAGCUUCACCGCUUCAACACAAAAGCUUCACCUAUAAAAGCUUCACCUACAAAAGUUUCACACACUCUUGAUCAAGAUAGUGUGAAGCAAAAUCAAUUCAUGGUACCCAACAACGCUUCAACCUCAAAGCUUCACCUAUAAAGCUUCAACACCAAAACUUCACCUACAAAGCUUUAAAAUAUAUAUAUAUAUAUAUAUAUAUAUAUAUAUAUAUAUUUUUUUUUCUUUUUUUGAAAAUUCGAAAAAAAAAAAUUGCCUAGGCCUCCUCUUCUUUGGGCCUAACAACUUUCAUAACAAAUAUAUAUGAAGGAGGAGUUUUGGGCUACCACUUAGAAAGGAAAUGCCUCUUGUGUCAACUCCCUCGACCGGAGACUUGGGGGACUCCUACCAUAUGCUACUGCACCUUGAUACUCAGAAGUCUCACGACCACUCAGUGACUUAAAUUUUUCAAGUCUCAAACCGAGAAGUUUUCCUCACUCGGGAAAUUAAAGGGAGCACUACCUCAACAUACAUGCUUCACUCACAAAGUUUCAAAAUACAAGCUUCAACAAAAGAAAAAAUUCAAAGAACUUAGUGAAGAAAGCUUUGGUGUAUUUAACACAAUACGUUGAAAUGAAGCAAAUCUUAUUUAUUAAGAAUAUCUCCGAUAAGUUACAAAUAUGUACUUAUACAUGAAUCAAAAUAAAUAAACAAGAGGGAGCCUUCACAAAGGUUACUCAGGAGAAGUCUCAGCAGUCGGCAGAGCCCAGAAAGAGUAGGCACCGGAGGGUGAUCAUUCGGAGCCUCAGUACUGGGUAGAACCCCAGAAUGAGGAGGCACCAGAGGUUGAUCAUUUGGAGCUUCAUUACGCAGUAUAACCCCAGAAGACGAAGGCAAUAAAUGCCUUUGGAACAAACCCACAAACCUCUGAUGAUCAAGUAAAAUCUAACCAUCAGAUUCCUGCAUCUGGUCAAGUUUCCUCUUCAUGUUUGUAGCAUAGUCAUGUGUGAGCCUGUGCAACUAUUUAUUCUCAUGCUUGAGCCCUCUAAUCUCCUGUUUGAGACUUAUCACUUCAGCCGCUAAUGAUUCAACUUGGCAGGUUCGAGCAAAUAGGCGUUAGGCCAUAUUAGAUACAGAACCUGCACAUUAAACACUGAAAGCCAGAGAAUCCUUAAUAGCCAACUCAUCAGACCGUUUGGAAAGUAGUCUGUUAUCUUUGGGAGUGAGAAGGUUCCUAGCCACUACCGCAGUAGUUAUAUCAUUCUUCAUCACAGAGUCCCCAACGGUAAGAGGACCAGUAGGGGAUAAGAAGGAUGAGCGCCAUAUGUUGUCUUGAGGAGACAUAGCUGCCUCUUCAUUAAAGUUCAAGUCAAAACGACGGUUAGAUGGGCCAGAUUGCUUGAUAACUGGAAAGUCUCUAUGUGUGUCAACCUCCGUGCUCCGUGGCAAGGCAGACUGGCAAAAAUGCCCAACCUUUACUCACAUUCAAGAAAACACUCUCAACAAGAUUGCUUGCUAAAAAAUCGAAGAAGCACCGCUAUCUGAAUCUCGAGAAUCAGACUCCCAACAUGAUUACUUGCUAAAAAAUUGAAGAGGCACUACCUUCCAAAUCUCAAGAGCCAUACUCCCAACAAGAUUACUUUUUCAAAAAUCAAAGAGGCACCGUUCUCCGAAUCUCAAGAGUCAGAUCCCCUACAUGAUUGCUUGUUUGAAAACCGAAAAGGCACCGCUCUCCGAACUUCGAGAGCCAGAUUUCCUUGGAUAAAGCUUGUCUGUAAUCUUCACAUGCAACAUCAGCUUUCCAGAUACUACAGACCAUUUUUCAAAGUGCUCUGACAAAGUUAAAACACGUGAAUCUUGCAGCUUCCACUACAUUGCUAUGACCGAGAAGGGUAAAGGAACAACGUUACUACUCGCUGUUGGGAUAAUUCCUAUAUAUGUCGAUCUUCAUCAUCUACAGCCAGGCAGACCUGCAAAUAAAAAAAAAUGCUCAACUUUUCUUCACAUCCGAGAUGGCACUCUCAACAGAGUCUCUCGAAAUACUCAGCUUAUUUUCCCCCGAUAAUACCUCUGCAAACAAGCUACAUCAAAGCAAGAGUAUCUCAUAUCAUCGGGGUUAAAAGCAAGAGUAUCCCAUUUCAUGCUUUUCUCUGUCUUUUCAUUUGCCCUUGUUCUUACCUGCAAAACAAGGAGAAAGAAAGCAAUCGGUCGGAACCUAAAAUCAAACUUUCGAUCUGGAACUGAUUGCUCGGAACCUUUGCCUGGUUGCUCACCUAGCAUUGCUCUCGAGUACUCAUCCUUAACUGUUGUUAAGGUCACGAAUCCUUUCGGCACAUACUUCAGAAUAGUUUAUACAAUAUUGGCUCUUUACACUGAAGCUGCCAAGCAUGGAUGAGUCGCUAAGAAGUAGUGCUCUGAAGGACCAUUCAAAUGUAAAGGUUGCGCACCACUUCUGCGAUGCAAAAGAUUGAAGUAGAAGGUUCAACGAUGAGCUAAAACAGAUUACUAUAGCACGACGCCCUCCCUGCAGAAUCGCUUAAUCCAGACGAAGGAUUCUAAGUCAAAUCCAAGCUAGGCUCGCUGCCCUAUUUGAAGAGCUCAAGAAAUUUCAACAACCUUUCGCUAGCAACGUCUCCAAAAAGUAAAGCCACACCAUACCACAUCCACUACUUUGUCAAUAGCAAAAGUAUCCCAUAUCAUCAAGGUCGAACGAACUCUUAAUUUGAUAGACUUGUUUUGACCCUCAAAUUCUUAAGUCGGCCUUAUACUCUGGAGGAAACUAGAAAACCCUCCAGCCCAGUUCAAGAAUAAGCCUGUGGAAAGUUACUUCUUAAAAAACAAAAGUAUCUCAUAUCAUCUCUUGUCAUUUUUCUUCUCUUUAUCCUUCAUGAUGCCUGCAAGAUAGGGAGAAUGAUAACAAUCAGCAGGAACUCGAAAUCAAAUUUCUGAUCUGGGAUUGAUUGCUUGGAGCUCUGAUUGCUUACCUUGUCUGUCACCUCUUUCGGCAGAUCUCCUAGCUCGGUGACUUGGGGGACUCCUACUACAUGGUUUGUAUUGCACUUGACCAAGCCUAAAACUACAAGUAAGCUUCAAGUGAAAUUGAUACAUUACCUUAUGCGUCUUCACCGGUUAAAGAUACCACCCAUAGAUGAAUGAAGAGUACUUCUAGAGAAGAUGCCACAUUUACCUAUGAGACAUAUAAGGUAAGUGAAGACGAUACCACACUUCGGUACUUAGAAGUUUCGUGAUUACUCAGCGGCUUGAAUCUUGUAAGUCCUCAAUCGAGGAGCUUCCCUCAUUCGGGAACUUAGGAGAGCACUGUUUGUACCAUACUUGACCAAUCCUGAAACUACCAAGCACCGGUCAACGUUAUACCAUCAAGGACCCAGAAGAGUUUUCCUCCAACCAAGAGGCCAAUCACAGCGCGACACGUGUCGACAUCAGCAGUCAAUCAUAGCGCGACACUUGUCAACAUCGGAAGCCAAUCACAACACGACACGUGUCAAUGUCAGAACAAAGCUAGAAACUCUCUUCUAUAAAAGGAGAUCAUUCUCCCACAAUAUUUCCUAUUGUUAUUUAUACUAAAUUAUUCACUAGUACUCACUAAAGGAGAGCUUGAACCUAUGUACUUGUGUAUACCCUUCACAAUUAAUGAGAACUCCUCUACUUCGUGGACGUAGCCAAUCUGGGUGAACCAUGUAUAUCUUAUGUUUGCUUCCCUGUCUCUAUCCAUUUACAUACUUAUCCACACUAGUGACCGGAGCAAUCUAGCGAAGGUCACAAACUUAACACUUUCUGUUGUACCAAAGUUCCCAUUGAUUUUGUGCAUCAACAUUAUUGAUUAAUUAAUUGUUUAUUUCAGUUGGCAAAUAAGUGGGCCAAGCAUUUGCCACGUCAUCAUUUAACAGCCAAAUUAAUAGAAAAUUUAAUGGAGGUAUGACAUUGCAACAAAUUCUUAAGUAGAGGUAUGACAUUGCAAUGUUUACAACAUGAGGUAUAAGAUUGUGGUUCGACCCAUAAUUGAGGUAGUUUUGUGUAAUUUACCCAAAGUAUAUCAAUUGGGUAGGGCUGGAGUUGUUCUUAUGUAUAUCAAUUAUCUAAGGUGUGGAGUGUCACAUGAUUGUUAAAAAAACAUUCUCCAGUUUUAUUCACCAAAAGAAAAUAUUGGGUUUUGGAUCAUAGUACUUCUUUUACUAGUAUGAAUAUAAAAAAUUUACACAAAUAUACAUAUUAAUCAAUAGACGUUAUCAAGAUUUCAAUACACUAUUACUAAAAUCCGCAUGAGCAUGGAAUUAUACAUGUACAAGUAAUUAGUUAAAACCCUAGCCAUAUAGACAAAAACCAGAGAAAAAUUCUCUAUCAGGGCUGUUGGUUUGGCUUUGAGGUUGGCGGCAGUCUUCUUGAAAAUCAUUCUUAGUUUCUUCUUUCUCUCUUUCUGUUUACUUUGUUUGGUGUAGAAUUGUCCCUGUGAAAUGUUGUAGUUGUCAUGAUAGUCGUCGUCUUUUGGCCCACGCACACAGUUUACACAAGAUUUGGGUCUAGUUACCAAUCUCGAUAUAGAGUUGAAGCUAGAAGCCAUGGAAGAUGUCAAAUUGUGUCAGGAUUGGAAUUGGCCAAAACAACAUUAUGGGUUUAGCUGGUGCAAUGAUAUGGCACUUGGAUAUCCGAAAGAUGUGGAGCAGUGACAUGAUUUUAUCCUUUUAUUUUGUUUUUGUUUAAUAAUUUCUGUGAAUUGUCUUGGAGUUUGAUUUUGAUUUUUCUCUUUAGGAAAGUUUGCUAGUUUGAUUGAGAGUUGCUUGAUUCUAAUUUUUGUUUUGGUGUGCUACCUCUUUUGGAUCUAUAUGUAAAAGGUGGAGCUGUUUGAUUUGCAGGAUCUUCUUCACUUGGUGUUCUGGAUCUUGGCGAUGAUUAGGUGAUGUGAUCAACCCAUGUCCGUCGUACUCCCUAUCCCAAUGUAUGGUUUGAAAUUUUGUUCACACAUGAAUUUCAUGUAACACGAGGUUUAAUGGUUCUCUUAACCUAUGUAAUCUUGUUGUUCCCAAUGAGUUCAGACUCUACUCAUUGCUUUGCGAUUAGUGACACUAUAUUGUAAUAUUUUUAGAUGGAUCUUUUAGGGAUUGAGUUAUUCAUGAUAUGUAUUUGUAAUACCUUUUUUUUUCAAUUAAUGAAAUAUCGUACUAUUCUUCAAAAAUAUAGUUAGUUAAACUUUUUUUUUUCUAACGAUAUUUGACAUUGAAGAGCAGUGAAUCUAAGUUAAGCUACAUAAUUUAGUAUAAAAUCGUCAUCUAUAAGGUUGAACACUAAACUUAUAAACUGUAGUAUGAAAAAGUUUCUCAAAGAAAUUUUUUUUAUCAUACUUUAAAGAGAGUUUUGUAGAGAAGGUGAGAGCAAAUGAGCAAUUUUGUGUUGGAUACCAAACAGUUCUAUGCAAUUUUAUUUUGGACUCAAAAUCUGUAUUUGAGCCUUAAAGGUUGGAUUUGAAUUGGAUACCAAACAAGCCCUAAAACUCAAAGUGUUUUCACCCCGCAUAAAUAAAACCAAAGUAUCAGUCAACUCUUAUCUCAUGAUUCAACCGUUAGACGGUUCAAAGAAUAAAUCAGACGGGUAAUAUUUUUUAAGAAAAGAAAAAGGUUAGUCAAUGAUUUUAAAUUAACUUUUAUGGGAUAUCUAUUUACUUGAAACAAAUAAUAGGAUUGCAAUUGGUCACACAUUCAAAUUCUUGUCUUUUCAGGUCAUGUUUGGUCUUUCUUACAAAAGUCUUUUGCAAUUUGUUUGGAAAAAUUAUUAAGUUUGAUUUUCGCUGAAUACAAUUCAAAUUAAAUAGUUGUUGCUAGUUUAUUGUGCAGUUUAACUCAUUUAUUAAAUCAUCAAUGUAGAUUACAUUGUACGUAUUAGAAAAAUUAUUAUCUUUUUAAAUUGUAUUUUAGGCAUCAAUAAUUUUUCUAUUUCCCUAAAUAUAAUAAUAUUAUUUUCAAAAUUGAAAUAUGUUGAUGUAGGUCAACAAAUACUAUUUUUAGUAAAAUGGUUACUAUUCAAGUUUUACCAUUUCAAUUCACUAGAAAUAUGUUAGUCAUUUUCCAAGAGUAGGACAACUAAGAUUUGAUUAAUUUGACUUGAACAUCCAUAUGCUCUAGUUUUUAGUUAGUAAUUAUAAAUAUAUUUUAAAAAGGAACAACUAGGGUUGGGCCCAAUUUUGAAGGAACUGAACCUUACUCGUUUUAAACAGUAAUGGGACGGGCCGGACCGGGUAGAAGGAUUUUGAGUUUUGGAACCGGACCUGAACCACAAGCCGAUUUGAGGCGGGUCCACGAGUCAAUUUUGUUUUUAGCACGGUAGCAUUGCAACAGCACAUGAGCUGUUUCACUACGUACCCGGCAAGUGGCGCCUCAACCCCUCUAAGAUCACGGCUUUCAGAUACGGCAACUUAUGUAGGACCUCUUCCAACACCUCCUAUUCCGUUUAUCCCAUAACCCCUUUAAUCUUUGCAAACAGCUUCUCCUAAACUUGUGGGUACUUGACUACGUUGGCUAUGAUCCACUGCAGUGCAGUGGAAGUUGUGUCGGUGUCGGCGUUCAGAAACUCUGAGCAAAGGCUGACCAUUUCUCAUUCCGAAAGCUUCUGCUUUUCGUUGUCGUCGGGAAGCUCAAGGUCCAGCAGCGUAUCAAUAUAUGACAACACAAAUUCAUCGUCCUUGUUGUCGUUUUUACUGCCCUGUUUUGCCCUGUUUUGUCGUGCUCAAAUAAGAAGGAAUUUAAUUCAACAGAAGUUUCAAACUCACUCGAUUCAAAUUCAAUUUAGUAAAAUAUUUGAAAUUGGAACAUAAUAGAGGUUAAGGUUUAAGAAUACAACAAAAUCCCUAAAUCUAGAAAACCUUAAUUUAAUUUUUAAUUCUAAAUCCCUAAAACGUAAUACCUUAAAACUGAAGAGGACCAUGAGCAGAGUCAUGCACUGCAAAUAUGGGUUUGAGUCAGAUGGAGGAGAUAACUAAUUUGUCGUUUCGAGUUGUUCGACUUCGUCGUUUGUCCCUUUGAGUUCGUCAAAGAGAAAGAGACUGAUUUCCAAAUAGUGAGUCAGGAGGAGAGAUCGAGGCAUGAUGACGAUGGCAGUGGACGGAGUUAGGAAGACAUGAGCGAAUUAGGAGUAGAGAUCGAGGUCUCAUGAUGAUGGUGGCGGCGUACAGAGCUGGGAUGGGACGGUGGGAGCGAGUUAGGAGGAGAGAUCGAGGAGUUGGGAGGAAAGAACCGAGAGGAGUUGGGAAGAGAGAAUAAGACUAGCUUUGACAAAACCAACAAAAGAAUAAGAGGAGAUCGAGGUCUAUUAUUCCAUGCUAGAAACAGGGUUGGGUCGGGGGCCCGUUCCCUUUUAUUUUAAUAUCCGCCCCGCCGCACUAAUUUCGUAUACCCGAACCGCCUUGCCCCGUUUUGUGUUUAGAAAUUUUGGACCCACCAUGUACCCUUCCCGAACCUGAAUUACCUGCCCCAACCCGCUGUUCCUAUAGCUGUUUGCCUACCCCUAGGACCAACUGGUAGUUUCGUCACGACAAUCUACUUUUUAAGGCUGAAUAGGUUUACAUAGGCAUUUCAGCCUUCUCUGUUCACUUAUCUAUUUCUAAAUCACUUUCUGCUUCCAUGUCGACCUUUACAAAAGUCUUAAGCAUUGUAAAUUACUUCUAGAAACAUAUCAAUAGCUAUACAAUUAUUAAAGACUCCCACAAAUUCAAAGUAUUGACUUUUUUGUUUUAGGAAGACUUGAAGCAUUCAAACAUGUGGAGCAACAUUUCAUCUUUAAAACAUGAGUAUUGCUAACUCUUUACAUAAAGUCUUGACCAAGACUAAAAAAUUAGUGUAAACAACUUGAGUUUGCAUCAACUUGGAUUUAUGUUUGGUUAUCGAAGUUUAGACUGUGAAAAAGUACAUGCUGAAUUCAGUUUGAUCGAUUACGAAAUAGUUCAAAUUUAAAAAUUAUUAUGCUCAAUUCGUAAAACUCGUAGUGAGGUUUGGCUUCUCCUUUCGGUUUGCAAGUUUAUUGGUGAUCAUUUUCAGUUUUGUGGUGCAAAUCUGAUGUUGUAGAUUCUUUAUUAGUCACCUUUGGGCCUCUACUGUUUGAACCCUUGUGGAGGAUUUGUUCUUGAGUUGAAACCGUUUCAUGUUUUUUUACCUUUAUGUACCAUUUUAUAAUUUGCUACUGGGAAGAACAUUUACUCAUAUUUUAUUUGCAUAAGUGACAUCUUUUUUUUUGUAAUGCAAUCUGUCUGUUUGGACUUUAAUUUAUAAAUUUUCUCUACCUUCUGAACCCCCCCCAAAAAAAAGAAAAAAAAUCGUAAAACUCAUGAACAGUUUAAAAUUACAUAGAACAUAUUUAUCGUUAUGUACUUCUCAAUAUACUAAAACAAUGACAUGUAUUAAAAAGGAAAAAGCUUACAUAUAUUAUUAUUUUACUGAAUCUUAACGGCACAAUAGCAGUAAACACGUUAUAUAAAUUAUUAUCAUACUCCUAACCAAAUAAAGAGUGAUGCUAGAGAGACCAUUUAAAUUAUUUUUUGUAAACUAUAUGACGUAUUUGUUAAUAAAUAAAUUAUAACUUAAUGAUUAAUUAUUUAAUUAUUUUAUAUUAAUGACACGUAAUUGACAAAUAUGAAAUUUGAUUCACGUAAUCAAAAGUCACUACACAAAAGUAAUACAAAAACACGUAACCAAACAGUAGAAACUUUAUUAAACUCCAAAGUCCCCCUCCUCCUACUUUCACCCGUUGCCCUUUUCUGGUCUGGUCAACCAUCUCCUUUGUUUUUUAUUCCCAUCACGAGAAAAUAUAAUGCAAUCAGUUUCUAGUUGUCUCAGACUCACAUUUCCUCCCUCCCCACUCCGGGACCCACCACUCCCCACCCCCCACCCCCCAAUACAUAUCUUCAAACCCAUCUCAGCCGUCCGAUCGAAAUCGCACUUUGACUCUCCCUCCCUCCCCCUUAUAUUUUCCCCACUCCCCCAUCAGCACGCAACCUUCACCCAAAAUCUCAAAUACGGGAAUGUCCUCUUGAGAGACCUCCCCAACCUCGCCGGCCGGAGAUUCUUGAAACCCUUACAAUGACGGUGGAGCUGAUGGAAUUCCCGAAGAUGGAGGAUCAGAAGGCCAUCCAGGAAGCCGCAUCGCAAGGAUUGCAGAGCAUGGAGCACCUGAUCCGGUUCCUCUCCCACCAGCAGCAACACCCAAACAACCAAUCGGCCCGCCUGGACUGUACGGACAUCACCGAUCACACCGUCUCCAAGUUCAAAAAGGUCAUCUCCCUCCUCAAUCGGACGGGCCAUGCCCGGUUCCGACGCGGUCCGGCUCAACCGGUUCAGCCCGUCCACUUCUCUUCUUCUCAUCCCUCACCUUCACAAACACUGAGCUUAGCUCCGGCUCUAAAUCUUACUCCGACUCCCGCGCCGGUUCCGGUAACUGCUCCUGCGGUUGUUCAGCAGGCUACGAUCGAGUCGAGUUUCGGCCAAUCGCAGCCGCACAGCAUGACGCUCGACUUCACGAGGCCUAAUGCCUUCGCCUCGAACCCGAAGAGCGCGGAGAUUGAAUUCGCAAAGGAUAACUUCAGCGUCUCGUCAGGCUCGUCGUUCAUGUCGUCGGCGAUCACCGGAGAUGGCAGCGUUUCGAACGGGAAGCUGGGAUCGUCGAUCUUCUUGGCUCCCGCUCCGGCUGUGUCCGGCGCGAAGCCUCCUCUCUCAACGGCGCCGUUUAAGAAGAGUUGUCACGAGCACGACCACUCCGACGACACGUCGUGCAAGUUUUCCGCCUCAGGAUCUGCUUCCGGUUCCGGCAAGUGCCAUUGCUCCAAGAGAAGGUAAGCGUUAUUCAUUAACCGCGCAUUUUAGCUUAAGCUUCCUCUUCCCAGCGCUAAAAUACGCAACUCGUAUCCCAGGAAACGAGUUGCCUCCGACGAUUCAACUCGGUUUUGCUUGGUGGACCCGAUUGGUUACGGGUCAACGGGUUAGGUUGCUGGGCCAUUAAUGGUUGAAGCUUUGAGCACCUUUUGACGUUGACACGAUAGGAUGCGUCUGGUGCGUGCUAGAAAUUCAACCUUGGAAUAGUAAAAAGUUUUGUUUUUCUCCGCGCGUGGGGAAAGACAUUUUUUAUUAUUUAUUUUUGACGGACGACUAAAACUAAAAUAAAUAACUAAUUAUUGUUUUUAUUUUCUGGUAAUUCAGGAAAAAUCGGGUGAAGAAAACGAUUCGCGUGCCGGCGAUUAGUUCAAAAAUCGCCGAUAUUCCACCGGACGAGUACUCCUGGAGAAAGUACGGUCAGAAGCCGAUCAAGGGCUCGCCUUACCCAAGGUACUGAAUUUAAACAUCAGCCGUUGAUUUGUCAUGAAAUGAAAAGUGUGAGGGUGUAUGAUAUGAUCGGACGGUGAGAAUUGAACCUGAUGUUUGAUGGUUUUUGUUUGUCAGGGGAUAUUACAAGUGCAGUACGGUGAGGGGGUGCCCGGCGAGGAAACACGUGGAGCGGGCUCCGGAUGAUCCGGCGAUGCUGAUCGUAACGUACGAAGGGGAGCACCGUCACGCGCCGGAGAGCGUGGGGUUGGUGUACGAGUCAACGUGAGUGAAAGUGGGUAGAGAGGGGAUUUGUCACAGCAGUUGAGAGGAAGGUGGUGGAACUGGAAUGGAUGUAACUUUUGUUUUUUAUAUAUAUAUAAAAAAAUUGUGUAGUUUAAUUAAAUGGAUAAUGGGAAAAAAUUGAGGGCGGAAUCAAUCUGUCCUAGCGGUGUUUAAUUUAAUUAAUUAUACUUAUUUCCAAAUGAUUUAGUUAUUUUUAUUUUAUUGCGUUUGGUGGGAAUAUUAUUUAUUUUAUCUUAAUUUAUGAUUAGUUUACGGGUAAUGAAAGUCAAAAAAAUAGAUGCGUGAUUAGGAAGGGAAUCAUGAUGCCUUAAUUGAAUGGGGGACAGUUGGUGGAAUAUUAAGACUAAAGCUAUGCGUAUUAAAAUUGUGUUAGAAGUCAAAAGCUCCCCUACCUUCCAAUGAAAUUAUAUAAAUGUGUGGGUGGUAGCCACGAAGGCACUAAACUUUGGGAUCAUAUUGAAGUAUGAUUUAUUCCUUGAUGUUCCACCGUUUGAAACCAUCGUUUUCUUUUCUUUGAUUGAGUUAGGAUACAUUGACGACUACACUGUUGCGUAGUGUUAUUAGUGUAAGUAUAAUAGAUCGUUUUUUGUGCCUCUGACAACUUGACUGGUCAGUUUGAUUUGAGCGAUUUUAUGUUAGUUGUUUAGAGUUGAUCACAAAAUUUUAGCAUUUCAAGUCAUACCUAGAAAAGUCAUUAAACUCAGCUAGGAGGCAAUGACUUUUCUUUGUGAAAAGUUGUUUGGUUUGGUUCGAUUUCACAAACAGAUUAAUUUAUCUUUGGGAAAUAUCAACCUAAACCAUCUAAUUGUUGUGAUUGGUUGAAUUUUUUUUUUUUUUGGCGUUUUAUUCAAUAUUUGUCCACCUUGUCUAUUUUCAUUGAUGAUGGUUAAGCAAAAGUUGAGACUUGUUAAUGAAGCUGGGCUAUACUCAUGCUGGAAAAUGAGCUGGACCAGAGUGCUAUACCAAAUGGAUGAAGAUUACGUAACAUCUUGGGCAAAUGGACUCAAUCUAAAUUAACAUGAAAUGUAUCUUCUCACAAUAGUGCAUAAGGAAAGUUUGUAACGAAGGUUAAAAGGUGCGAAUAACUUUGAAAAUUGCAAGUGGUGGGUUGCCCAUGCCAAAUAGGCAUUCAUCCUUGACCGGUCGACCCAUUGCGUCUCAGAUUUAAAUAUUCUCUCCCUCUAUGUAGUGUACAUUAGAUAAUAAUAAUAACGCUUGUAGUGAAAAAAAAAAACUUGAAAAUUAGUGCGAAAUGUUGAAAAAUAAAAUAUGAAAUAGCGAGAGACGAGAUAAAGUGGAGGAGAAAUCAGAGUAUUUAACUAUUUAUUCUUCUUCUCCUAAUCUUUCUUCCCUUUCAUUCAGAACUAUAGAUCACGUUCCUCAAAAGGAGGUGGUAGCGGUUUCCUAGUUUCGGCUCUGAUCUAUCGCCUCGGGAGGUUUUUGCUCUGCAAUUUAGGUUUUGAUGGUCGAUGCUCGACGGAUGCUGGGGUAGACUAGUCUGCGAAGGUCUUUUGAGGGUGUUCUUCGGCUUCUCGGAGCUCGGGAUCUGUGGCGAGAGCCCUACGGGCGUGAGGGGAGGUUUUUCUUGGGGAUCCUGGUUUUUGUAGGUUUUUUCUUGGGGAUCCCGGUUUUUUUUGCUGAGUGUUUUAUUCUGCCAUGGUGGGGGAUUGCGAUAGAAGGGAGCUUGAGGAUUUGGGCUCCUAAACUGAAAUGGUCUGAGAAGGAGCUAGAGGGGAUCAACAUUGACAUGAAAGAUGUCGAGGGAGCCUUACUAGGCUUUCAGUACACCCUGAUCGCAGAAGUUCUCACUACCAAGGAAGUGAAUGGCGAGACUUUUAUCGAUUGUUUCAUGUCUUUAUGGCGGGGAAGAGAAGGAGUCUCCAUUCGAGACAUUGGGAAGCGCUGUUUCUUGGCACGGUUUGCAGGGCAACGCAACUUGUUCAGAGUGGUGGAUGCGGACCAGCCUUGGACAUUUAGGAAUGAUCUGGUCUUAGUGGCGGACCGAUCGGAAUCUGGUCUCAGCAGAUGGGCUUCGCUUUCUGUGGGUACACUUUGGGUUCAGAUCCACAAUGUUCCGCCGCUUAGCAUGACCAUGGCAGUUGCGGAAUCCAUUGGGGGCUUGAUGGGCACAGUUCGAAAGAUAGAUUCUUCGGGGAGCCGUGACUGCAUUGGGAGGUUCCUCCGUGCAUAAAUCAAUUUUAAUGUCCGUGAACCCCUUAUGCGAGGGACAUUUGUGAAUUUCCCUGAUGAUGGAAAGGUAUGGGUUGAUUUCAAAUAUGAAUCGCUACCAAAAUACUGCCUAAUUUGUGGAAUGUUGGGUCAUGGUACGAGAGUUUGCAAAAGUACUCAGAGUGAUACAGGGGGACAAUGUGCAGGUUCAGGGGACAUGGAAGAUGCAUAUGCUUUCCGAAGGCUGGAUAUGGUGAUCGACCUUCGGGGGAAACCUUUGGUCAUGGGCUCACGUAGUAAAGGCUCUGUGGGAUCCAAUGGGGGGGAUAGAAGCUCCGAAAGAUGGAAGGAAGAUCGGAGUGAUGAGCAGGAGGGAGUGAGGAAGUUGGGGCAGCCCUUAAUAGCAUUAGGGACAGGGUUUCGAACACCAUUCGGGGGUGGAAUAUCACUAAGUGAGGGAGUCAACCCGACUAAUGAAGAUGAUGAAGUGAUUAACACUGCUAUCUCGCCGAGUAAGCCUCGAUAGUCGUCGAAUAAACUGGAACAGGGGGACUCAUCUCUUGCAAUCAAAAUCCAACGCCAAAGAAAAGAGGAAGAUGAUGAGAGAAUGGCUAGAUAGAUGGGUUUUGAUGCAGGUUUAAUUGGUCUGGAGGGAGUAGUUGCUGAUGGUGUCGAGCAUGUUGUGCUCAAUGAACUAUGUGAAAAGGAGGAUAGGGAUGUGGCAAUUGGUGAGUUACAGGAAUGUAACAAAGGCUUUGAUUUGAAUGUUAUGAUGCAAACCCCAGAUGAGGCGGAACGGGAUCACCCUACUAGGGUGGAUAAACCAACUUUGUAGAUGACAGGCAAAACUUUGUAGAUGACAGGCAAAACUAUGUGGGGGGGGGUAACAAUACCAUGAGUGACAACCCGUUUGAUUUGGAACCUAUUAUUGAGGCGAUGAUGAUUGAGCAAAAACGGAAAAAAAUGCUCUUAGAAUAAGGUGGAGUAUGUUGGUCCACGAGAAUGUCUAGAACUGGAUAGCAAUCGUCCACGGAAGUGUCUUUUUUCUGAGGCGGAUGAGACCAGCCUCGAGGGGUCUCCCAAAUCCUCAUGAAGCUAAUCGCGUGGAACUGUCAGGGUAUCGGGAGUGACCUGACGGUGGAUAACCUGUUGGAGAAAAACAUGAUUCACACCCCCGACAUAGUGAACUUGCUGGAAUUAAAAAAUAAAAGCAGUCGCUAUAGUUUUUUGAAAAAAAAAGUUAGGUUUGGAGUUUAUGCACGUGGUGGAACCUAGGGGGAUUGGAGUAGGAUUAUAUGUAAUGUGGAAAGAUGCAUCCUUGGUGGUUUAGGUAAAGUCCAGAGAUUUUAUGAUCGAGGCGGAAAUUUGGGAUGAUAGUAAGCAGUGUGUGUGGCACCUGUUUGCUAUCUAUGCUAGCACGGAUGAGAAAAAGCGGAAGGAUCAAUGGGUGUCGUUAAGUCAGUGGAUUGGUAGAGCUAGCAAGAGAUGCCUAGUAAUUGGGGAUUUUAAUGACAUCCUGAGCAAUGAUGAAAAUGAGGGAGGUAACUACAGAUCGGUGGCUAGCUUAAGGGACUUUCGGGGCUUUGUGGCGCGUAAUGAACUAAUGGAUUUGGGUAACGAGGGCUAUCCCUUCACGUGGAGGAAUAAUAGGGAGUCCAGACCAAUUCAACAACGCCUUGAUCGUGGUUUGGUAAGCAUGGGUUGGCAGAACAUGUACCCCGACACAAAAAUUCUACAUCUGGUUCUUGAAGGGUCUGAUCACGCCAUGCUCAGACUAUCCACGGAAAAAGCUUGGAUAUGGAAAGGGAAAAGAUUCAUGUAUGAUGCAAGAUGGAGUAAGCAACUUGAGUGUCGGGACUUGGUGUGUGAGGAAUGGCAAGUGAACUACCAUGGUUCUUAUGGGUUCCGGCCAAGUGAAAAGCUAAAAUCCCUUGGGCGGAGCCUGAAAGUGUGGUACAAAGGAAGGGCGAUGAACUCAAAGCAGGCUAUUGAUCGCCUGAAAGGUGAGAUUCGAUCGGCCUACAUGUCAAAUAAGUUUUCUACUAAGGAGGUGCGGCUGAAAGAAUGAGAGCUGAUAGAAGCGCAUAAGGAAGAAAAUAAGUUAUGGCAGACUAAAUCCAGAGUUCAAUGGCUUAAUGAGGGUGAUAAGAACACCAAGUUUUUUCACGCCCAAACUAUGAAAAGACAGAGGUACAACCAGAUUCGGGGGUUAGAAGAUGCUCACGGUAAUUGGCAAGAAAGUCAGGAUGAAAUGGCAACGAUUGCGGUAAGGUACUUUUCCAACCUAUUUCGGUCCUAUCGGCCAAGCCAGCUGGAGCACAUUGUGAACUGUAUGGAGUCUAGGGUGACUGCGGAGGAUAAUCUGAUGCUGGCUGCCCCGCUGACGGAUAGAGAGAUACGAGAGGCGGCAUUCCAAAUCCCCCUACGACGGCUCUAGGUCCGGAUGGCUUAUCCGGGAAUUUCUACCAUGACCACAGGGAGGUGGUGUGGCAGGAUGUAAUCAAUAUGAUUAAGAUUUUCUAGCACUCGGGCAAGCUUCUUCGGAAUCUAAAUCACACUAACCUAGUUCUUAUCCUGAAAGUGGCGUGCUCAAAGAACUUAAAGCAAUUCCGUCAUAUUGCUCUAUGCAAUGUUAGCUAUAAGAUUCUUACUAAGGUUUUAACGAACCAUUUGAAGAGAGUUAUGACGAAUGUAAUCUGUGAUAAUCAAUUGGCUUUUAUGGCGGGAAAGCAGAUACAAGAUAAUAUCCUUGUUGUGCAUGAGAUACUCAAUUCUCUCAUGCAUUAAUCGAAGGCGGAAAUGAUGGGUAUGGCAAUAAAAUUAGAUAUGGCUAAGGCUUAUGACUGUAUGGAAUGAGACUUCAUUCUAGCCAUGAUGGGUAAGUUGGGUUUUGACCAGAUUUUCUAUGAUCGAAUCAAAGAGUGCAUUUCAUUGGUGUCUUUCAGUAUCUUAAUGAAUGGCAACCCAACUGGAUAUAUUCUGCCGAAGAGGGGGCUGCGACAAGACGAUCCCUUAUCCCCAUAUAUAUAUUUCUCCUUUGUACUGAGGGUUUCUCUGCUUUAAUUCGGAGGGGGCCGGAGCUUGAGGCUUUGCAUGGGCUCAGGGUCACUCCCACGGGGAGGCCAAUCUCGCACCUCUUCUUCCCAGAUGACCCGGUGCUGUUUUGCAAUGCUUCGGUUGAGGAUGCGCAGGGGGUGAGUGAAAUUUUGAGGGUUUAUGUUUGCGGAUCCGGCCAAGAAAUAAAUCUAUCCAAAAGCUCUAUAUUUUUUAGCCCAAGGACUAAGAAACGGGCAAAGAAAGAGAUUGUUCAAAUCCUUAACAUCUAAAGCAAGGAUGGCUUCGAGAAAUACCUUGGACUACAGGCCGACUUUGGGCUUUCAAAGAAGGCUGUGUUCGAGGAGGUUCAUGAGCGAAUCAAAACUCGCAUUGUGGGGUGGGCGGAACAAUUCAUUUCUCAGGCGGGUAAGGAAAUUCUCAUCAAGGCGGUGGCCAUGGCUAUGCUUAACCAUGCCAUGAGCUGUUUUAAACUUCCUAUUGGGGUGUGUAAAGACAUUGAAAAAGCUAUUAGGAAUUAUUGGUGGAGAGGGAACAGCUAUAGGAAGGGGGUCCAUUUGGUUGCCUGGGAAAAACUCAGAUCGCAGAAACAUUAUGGUAGGCUAGGGUUCAAGGAUAUUCAGUGUUUCAACCUCGCCCUCCUAGCAAAGAUUGGUUGGAGGAUUACUUAUCGACCUGACUCCCUUCUUGCCACUGUGUUGAGAGACAAGUAUUUCCCAGGCAAGACGUUUAGGGAAGCUUGCAGCGGGAGGGGAAUAUCUUGGGGGUGGAAGGGAAUUUUUGAAGCUUGAAAGGUGCUUGAUAAAGGCAUUUGAUGGCGGGUGGGCGAUGGUACUUGCAUCAACAUCAGGGAAGAUCCGUGGUUCCCAAAACCCUCCACUUUCAAGGCUCGGGUGCGAGCGGGUUUGCAAGCAAUUAUGGUGAAUGACCUUAUUGAUCCUGCCUCUGUUGAGUAGAAGACCAACGUUGUUGCUGGGGGUUUUUUAUAAAGAGGAUGUGGCCUCAAUUCUCAAUAUCCAUUUAAGUAGGAGCGGACAGGGCGAUCAUCUGGUUUGGCACCACUCAAAGAACGGGGUGUAUACCAUUAGAAUUGGUUACAGGGUGGCUCUGAGGCUCAUGGAAAACGGCGAUAUGGGGAGGAAAAGACGUGGCGCACCGACUCAACCUUAAACCUCAAUCAGGUCUGGAACAGAAUAUGGAGUUUGGAGGUCCCUAAUAAAAUGAAGUUCUUUGUUUGGAAAUGUUGUAAUAAUGUUUUGGCAAUUCGAAGAAAUUUGAAAAUGAGGCAUAUGAGAGUUGACAAUAUUUGUGAGGUGUGCAAGCAGUUUGACAAGACAGAGAACCAUAUAUUCUUUCGGUGUGAAUUCAGUCAUAUUUUUGGUUUUUGACAAGACAGAGAACCAUAUAUUCUUUCGGUGUGAAUUCAGUCAUAUUUUUGGUUUUUCUCCCCUCUUCAGCUUAAUUCCUUUAAGCUGGAAGGGGCCGAUUUCCUUACUUCCUGGGUGUCGUUCUGCAACAGGGUCAAGGGGAUGGGUAAUGAAAUGGAACUGUUGCAAGAAUUUGUGUUUGGGCUCUAGCGCCUUUGGAAAAAUAGAAACGACCUGGUUUUCAAAUGUGUGAUCCAUUAGCCUCUUGAUAUACUGGAGUUAUGGAUGAUGAACCUUGCCGAGUUUAGGGAUGCGGGUGUUCAAGGGGUUGCGAGUGUACAACCUACCGACGGUACAAUCACCUCAACUCUGGAGAUAAGGGUUAGGCAUUGGCAAAAGCCGGGCUUCGGGGUUAUCAAGGUCAACAUUGAUGCUGCUUGGUGCAAGGAGACCCUGUGUGCUGGCGUGGGUUGGAUUGCUCGUGAUUUUGCCGGGCUGCUACAAGCAGUGAGGGGUUCGGGCAGGCUUCUCUGCCAUAGUGCUACAGCGGCUGAGGUGACUACAAUCUGAGCUGCUCUGGAAUUCUGUGUUCGGCAUGGAUUCAACACUGUGACCGUUGAAUCUGAUGCAAAGGUUAUCAUCCAAAUGAUUAGGAAGGAGAUUACCCUUGACUUCAGUUUGGAAUGUACUUUUGGUGACAUCGAGACUCUAACUCGUGGUUUGGAGUCGGUGACUUUCGAUUUUGUUUCUCGGGAAAGUAACCGUGCGGUGCACUCGGUGGCUAAGUAUGUAUUCCAGGAAGGUAGGGAUUUUGUUUGGGAUUGUAUUGGACCUGAAUUCUUGUUUAACAUUUUGGCUCAGGAUGUAAAACUUUCUAUUCUUUUAUAAUAUUUCUACCUUUGGAUAAAAAUAAAAAUAAAACUAUUUAUUCUUCUCAUUACAUAUUGACCUAGAAGUGAGCAUCUACAUAAUAAAUACUAUUUACAACACUCUCCAUUCGAUAUCACCAAUCAAUGAUACUUGUCUCGAUAAAGCUUUGCUUGGAAGACCCAGUGGGACAAAACCUAACCAAAGAAGGAAAAAUAAAAAAUCUGGCACCACAAUAAUGAAACAUUGAUAUGAUGUUGGACUCGCAUAAUGCUGCCUAGCUAAAACCUUGCUAGGAAAAAUUUAGUGGGAUAAAAACCCGAUCAAAGGAAAAAGAGCACAUCGUGCUUUUGUCCAUUGUAGCGCAUUGUCGAAAACUCCUUCUUAUGCAUAACUAUGCUAGAUUAGUGACUCACCUUGAUUAUAGUAAGUCUUGAUUUGACUAGUCAUCAUUGUUAAGUUUUGAAGUAAUGUGACUUCAGUCUUCAAAAAAUUUAACUUGAGUAGAACUUGACCCUAGAAAGUGCGGAAGUCUACUGAGAGUUGACAAUGGCUUUUUGUAUUUAAAUGUACAAGCUGAAAAGAGUUUACUAAAUUUCAUGUGAACAUAAUCCAUUUAUACAAAAUAGCCCCACAGGGGCUUCCAAUAGUACUAUAGUUAUGUGAACUUUUUCAAAAGUAUGUUAACAAUAUAAAUUUGGUUCGAAGGCAACAAAAGUACUCAUUGAGGCAAUUUAUACCAAACUUAUUUAGAAUACAAUGUGUUGGUAUCGAGUACCUACUUUGAGCUUUAUGCUCUUAAAUGAAAAUCUUUGAAGAAGAAUUUCAUGGCAUUAUCAAUUCAUUAAGAAAUUACUUAGAGAGAUAUACAAAAACUAAAAUCUCAAGUAGUAUGCAGUCUCCACAUGCUACAAGUCUCACGUUUAACAUAACACCAUCCUUACAUAAAUGCAGUUGCCUCUACUUACAUAAAUGCAGAUGCUCCUACAAUAGGAGACUAUGUUUCUACAUAAAAAAAACUUAUGCCAUAUAGUGAUUUUAAUUCACUUCAUUAAAUACACCCAAGGAUACUUUUUGGGUUUAAACUAUAGGUUUACUUAUUUCAUAUUUUUCAUUGCCUCUUAAAAAUGGAAUUUUCCUUUUUCCAAUUUGGUGCUUUUAUAAUUUGUCGACUUAAUUGGAAAACGUGGCCUAAUAGUCCUUGAUGAUAUGAGUAGCUAUUAUAAAAUUAAAUUCAUCAUCAAUUCAUGAUCCAACAUUUCUCAUUUGUAUGUGCAUGCUUAAUUUAUAAGUAUCUUAUUGCUUGGAUAUCAGUGCCUCUUUGAGCUUCCAUUGUCACUUCUAGGAUAAACAUCUCGAGAUUAAUUACUUAGAGAAUUGUAUCAUAACCUUUUAUGGAGCGUUAUUUAAAUUGCGCUUGAACUCUAUAAAUCUCCACUUCGGGGAAGUUCAAAAUUUAGAACCUAUCUAUAUGUCUAUCAUGCUUCUGGCAUGCAACAAAUUAUUUACAUCAAUUAUGAAACAAGAGAGGAUGUAUCAACACUUAGAGAAUUGUAUCAUAACCUUUUAUGGAGCGUUAUUUAAAUUGCGCUUGAACUCUAUAAAUCUCUACUUCGGGGAAAUUCAAAAUUUAGAACCUAUCUAUAUGUCUAUCAUGCUUCUGGUAUGCAACAAAUUAUUUACAUCAAUUAUGAAACAAGAGAGGAUGUAUCAACACUAAUUCACAAAGUUAUAGAAAACUGUCAUUUCUCUCUUAAUGGUAAGAAAAUUGUCUCAUCAAAAUGAUAGUUUGCAACAUUGCUGUAAAUAUGAACAUAACUAAAAACAAACUGAUUUGAAUUCCAAUUGUGUCACAUCCCGGCUCGGGCCCCCACCACAUCCCGGGCUCGACUCCAUCGUCGCACGAUAUUGUCCGCUUUGGGCCCUGACCACGCCCUCACGAUUUUGUUUUUGGGAACUCACACGAGAACUUCCCAGUGGGUCACCCAUCCUGUGAUUGCUCUCGCACGAACUCGCUUAACUUCAGAGUUCCGAUGGAACCCGAAGCUAGUGAGUUCCCAAAAGGCAUCGUGCUAGGUAGAUAUGGGAAUAUACAUAUAAGGCUUACAAGAUCCACUCCUCUGGGCGAUGUGGGAUGUUACAAUCCACCUCCCUUAGGGGCUCGACGUCCUCGUCGGCACACAUCCGACCAGAGAUUGGCUAUGAUACCAAAUUGUCACGUUCCGGCCUGGGCCCUUAUCACAUCCUGGGCUCAACUCCACCGUUGCACGAUAUUGUUCGCUUUGGGCCCUGACCACGCCCUCACGGUUUUGUUUCUAGGAACUCACACGAGAACUUCCCAGUGGGUCAUCCAUCAUGGGAUUGCUCUCGCACGAACUCGCUUAACUUCGGAGUUCCGAUGGAACCCAAAGCCAAUGACCUCCCAAAAGGCCUUGUGCUAGGUAGAGAUGAGAAUAUACAUAUAAAGCUUACAGGAUCCACGCCCCUGGGCGAUGUGGGAUGUUACAAAUUGUGAUGGAUGAACCAUCUUUGUUACAUAAGUACUUGUUGGUUGUAAAAUUAACCUUAACCAAAAUGAUCGUGAUGAUGCAUGUGAUCAAGAUACAGGUCUCAAGCAGAAACGCAAUGAAUAAAAUGCUUUAAGAUUUUGGUAAGCCAUGAGAGUGUGUGCUCAAAACUAAUCCCAAGUGACAUGAAAUAACCUCAAAAAUUGGGAAUUUUGCUUGUAAUAACAAGUGAAUAAUAUAACGCCCAUUUUGUAAUACAUCUAGUCAUUGGUCAAACAGUUCACGACUAGAUGUUGAUAAAACUCACUACUAUGUUGUUAAAUUCUCAAGAGAAGUACGGGGAUCCAAGGUUAAUUUUUAAGGUAAAGUACAAAAAAACUACCUCAACUAUGGGUCGAACGACACUAUCAUACCUCAUCUUUUUAAAAUGACAAUGUCAUACCUCAUCUUACGAAUUUAUGACAAUGUCAGACCUCCGUCAGUUUUUCUGUUAAUUUAUUUGUUAAGUGCUGACAUGGCUCCCACUCACUAAUUAAAAAAUAAUUAAACAUUAAAAAAUUAAAAAUAAAUUAUUUUUUAUAUAAAAUUGUGGGAUCCACCUCUAUAAAUCUCAUCUCUUCUCUAUUGCCUAUCUCUCUUCUUUCUCCCUGCAACCUGCAUCCCUAAAAACCCUUCCCACCUGUCCUCCCCAACCUUCCUCCACCACCUACCCUCUCUCUCUAAUCCCUGCCCUAAAUCAGAGGCAUUCCAUCUCUCCCUUCCUCAUCUCACAAACCCUUCUCUGCCCUCGCACCAAAAAAUUCUCUCAAAAGCUCUAAACCCUUCUCCGUUUCCGCUAAGCUUGCUAACCUCCCAGUCCUCUCCUUCACCGGCGACAAAGUUGGGGAAACUUUCCUCGACCUCAAGUCCGCAUUCCCUGAUACCGCAUGCGCCGUUGUCCACCGCGCCACCAUCGUCGACCUUCAGAACAAGUGCAACAACACAACAUCCACCUUCACUUGCGCGGAUGGGUCAUGUUCGGACCCAAGCCUAGGGAUUGGAGCAUCAAGAUCAAUCGGAAUGAGAAGUGGCUGGAGAUUUUGACGGCGGUGGCGAGCGCCGCAAAGAACACGAUAAUGGUGCAGGAUUUCAGCGACGAGUUCGAGAAGCUUGAGAAGCCAAAGACGACAGAGUUUAUAGCAGCGAUGAAGAGGUGGGGUUUAGACCCAAAGGAGAAGACGACAUUUCUGGUGACAGAGGUUUGAUGAGAUUUUGGAUUUUGAGAUUUGUAAUGGGUUUUGGGAUUUUGGGAUGAAUAUUUCCCAGAGAGAGAGAAAAGAG
rnacentral:lncRNA from 1 species